rnacentral:lncRNA from 1 species
AAGAUGCUAGAGAACUCUAGAGGAGAGGGAGAAGUAUUCAUCAACGAAGUUGCAACAAUCGGACUAAUCCACCAUGCCAAUAUUGUCCGCCUCCUGGGAUUUUGUUCCGAAGGAAUGAGACGGGUUCUUAUUUACGAAUUCAUGCCUAACGAGUCACUGGAGAAAUACAUAUUCUCUGAUGACCCUAACAUUUUUCAGAACCUUCUGGUACCAGACAAGCUGCUAGAUAUUGCUUUAGGCAUCGCCAGAGGAAUGGAGUACCUGCAUCAAGGGUGCAACCAGCGCAUCCUCCACUUUGACAUCAAGCCUCACAAUAUCCUUCUCGACUACAACUUCAACCCAAAGAUCUCAGACUUUGGCCUUGCAAAGUUGUGCGCGAGGGACCAAAGCAUCGUCACCUUAACCGCAGCAAGAGGCACGAUGGGCUACAUUGCACCAGAGCUAUACUCUCGCAACUUUGGGGGAGUAUCGUACAAGUCAGACGUGUUCAGUUUCGGCAUGCUGGUGCUAGAGAUGGUGAGCGGAAGGAGGAACUCAGAUCCAAGUACUAAGAGUCGGAACGAUGUUUACCUCCCGGAGUGGAUCUACGAGAAAGUGAUCAAUGGGGAGGGUUGGCGCUUACUCUGGAAGCGACUCAAGAAGAGAAAGAGAAGGUGAGGCAGCUGGCGAUGGUGGCACUGUGGUGCAUCCAGUGGAACCCGAGAAACCGGCCGUCUAUGACAAAGGUUGUUAACAUGCUAACAGGGAGGCUGCAGAGUCUGCAGAUGCCACCAAAGCCGUUCGUCUCAUACGAAAACGAGCCUGUGUCGUAAUAAAUCAGAGGAGGGACUACAAUACUCUGUCAGCAUUCAGGGACUGGUAUAUAUACUCUGCCAACACUGCAUCUGGAGGUGUAUGAAUAAUCACUGGUCAGCGGUCACUACCACUGUAAUAGUAGUACGGUACAAUGCAAGAUACAGGAUUUGUAGUUGGACUUGUAUUUUAACAGCUACUCCCAUAUUUAUCUCUACAUAAGUUGCGAAUAGCUCGUGUAAAAUUCGAUACUCUGCUGAUUACCUUAAUUAUCGCUGCAUUGCAGUCCGUCCACAUCCGACAGUUAGUGACGGAACUUUUCCUUCCCAGCACAAAGUGAAUGUGAUCCACAUUCACACAUUUUCACUUGCACAUCAGGUAAAAUGCCACCAUUGAAUCGGAAUUCCACACCAAUUCGAGCUUCGAUCAUUUGAGUAUGAUAACAGACUAGUAAAUCAGAAACUGUGGGAGGGAGAGGAGUGAUGUACCUCUUGAUAUUAUUGGAAUAUGAGAGGAAUCGAAGCUCGGCUAGCUGCUGCUUGCUGCCGUUGGGAUUGGGGGGACUGCUGCUGCGGUGAAGCCUACUUCUAACAACAAGGCCAGAGCCCAUCACCUUUCCCGGGCCGAUCGAGGUCCAACAUUGCUCACUUCUCUUUUUUUUUAAAUGUUUUUUUUAACUCGUUGUGUCGAAUAGUUUGAGGAAACAAACAUCUUCUUCCCACCCCCAACAUCUAUGUUUGCCCUGAUCACUGCCGCCAUCCACCUCAAAUGAUCCAUCGAACCAGCAUCGGCCGGACCGUCGUCUCUCUCCACCCAUGACUGAUGUUUGAUGUCACCUUGUCCUCUCGGUCUCGAAUGGCCCUUUGCCAUUGCCUUCGUUCGUUUGCCCCCACCCCGGCCUUCCCUCUUACCUCGCCUUCUCAUAUUCUAAUGAGCCACUCCGCACCCGCAUUCACCGCCAAUUUUGCGUCAUCGCAUUUAUUUACGUUGUUGGGUCAUCACCGACUCGGCUUCACUCCUUUUGUUGCAUCAUCCCCACCACCACCAAUCGUCCACCGCCCCCUCACCUCCUAUCAGCCCCCAUGAGGCACUCUACCUCCACCUCGGCGGUGUCACUCUAGCUUCUUUUGUAUGGCCCAGGACGACACGCCAAUGCAUGUUUGAUAGACAAUUCGACACAGUGAGACUUGAAAAGGGUUUACACCCCCCCCCCNGGCCACUACGCCCAUUCACAUAGGUACGCUUUUCUUCUUUCUUGGAAUUGUGCUUAAAAUAUAAAUUAUAAUCCAAUCUAUAAUGAAAAGGAGUAAAAGUAUUCACUUGUUAAAAAAAUCAUAAAAAGUAUUUACUUUAAAAAUGUUCUUAUUUUAUAUAAAACUUAAUGCAAUCGAAACAAUGUUCAUGUAUACUAAAAAAUAUUGUUAUAAUUUGCAAAAGUGUUCAUCCCUUUUUAAAACAUCUACUUUUAGAAUGUUGACUUGUUCAAACAGGAUGUUCUUUCAAUUUCAACGAGUGUUCAUGUCCUUCAGAAAAAUGUUCAUGUAAUCAUGAUCACAUAUUUAAGAAAAGAUUCAUGCAUUUCUCAAUAAAUACGUAUAUAUAUUUUACACAAAAAAUAUGUAGAGGCAGAAAAUGGAGAAAGGGAGAAAAGAGGGGGCGGGGGUGGGGAGAAAAAGAAAAGGGAAAACCCAAAAAAAGUAAGAAGAAAACAAUGAAAAUACUAACAUGAUAAACAAGAAAAGACAAACAAAAACUGAAAACCCCUUACAGGUUUGGGUCCAUCUAGGUCACUUUGUUGAUUCCGUGCUGCAUACUUGUUUGUAUAAAAGGUUAUCAUGAUCCGUAUCCUUGAAAAAAAAGAGGUUAUCAUGAUCAAACUUAUUUGAGCAACAUCUAAGCUCCCAAACUUGUUGAAUUCUGGUAGGAAGUACGGACCACCGUCUCUUAUGUUGGAUAUUCUCUUUACACAUGAUCCAACACAAAUUUGGUCGCUAAAUUCAGUACUCAUCAUCCAACCAAACUCACUUAAUCUUGAUGGGGGUCUAAUAUGUGUAUAAUUAUAUNNNNNNNNNNNNNNNNNNNNNNNNNNNNNNNNNNNNNNNNNNNNNNNNNNNNNNNNNNNNNNNNNNNNNNNNNNNNNNNNNNNNNNNNNNNNNNNNNNNNNNNNNNNNNNNNNNNNNNNNNNNNNNNNNNNNNNNNNNNNNNNNNNNNNNNNNNNNNNNNNNNNNNNNNNNNNNNNNNNNNNNNNNNNNNNNNNNNNNNNNNNNNNNNNNNNNNNNNNNNNNNNNNNNNNNNNNNNNNNNNNNNNNNNNNNNNNNNNNNNNNNNNNNNNNNNNNNNNNNNNNNNNNNNNNNNNNNNNNNNNNNNNNNNNNNNNNNNNNNNNNNNNNNNNNNNNNNNNNNNNNNNNNNNNNAUAUGUGUAUAAUUAUAUUAAAGUUCAGAACAAAUAUAACUAUAUAAAGUACUACAACCUAAGUAUUUAGAUGACUACACAAUAAAGUUUUAAUUAGUUAUGCACUAGGACUGGUCCGAUCUUGCCUUCCAAACAAUAUACAUGCACACACAACCACAUAUAUAUUAUGCAUCUACCUAUCUAUUAAUCGACCCCAUGUCGAAUCCCAUGGACACGAGGUGCCCGUACAUCAUCUGGUUCCACACGUCCGGCACACCCGGCAGGCACCAGUGGCUACAAUCCUCGGGCGCAUCCGAUGGCGUCUCGGGCUCCCGGUACCGCGACGGAUGCCCAUCCCUCCUCAAGCCCGUCGUGUAUGUUAUGUUCAAGAACACCGCAUCCUUGUUCAUCCCAUGCCGUCUCCUCAUGCUCCGUGCCACACUCGAGAUCAUUGUGUUGAUCCACGAGUGCUCCUGCUGGUCCCUCUCACUCGUGAUCGUCGUCAGCGGAUCCCAUUGGUCCGUGCAGGAGCCACCCGUGUCCCAUGUCCGAUUGCCGUAGUGUGAUGGGGAAUAGCUCCUGAAGAAGAGGUGGCCCCUCCUGGAGAGUCGGGGAUUGGUCAGUGCCCAAUCUUUCACCGUCUGCAAAGACCGUCAGAAUGCUUCCUUGAUGUUUGUUGUCACGUUGAACCGAUCGCCCACGGUGAAAUAGUUUCCUCUGCAAGCAUUGAUUGCAGCUCCAGUCAAAUAACUAACCAUUGUGAUAACAAUGUAAAAAUUUCAUGUGGCAGCUAGCUAAUUACAUACGAUUUGAUGGUCUUAUGCAGGUUCCACCGACGAGCACAUCGGCGCUGGCCCAGCAGGCGGCAUGCCGCGGCACCACGUCAAGCCGGAUGGCCCUCUUGAUUGCGCCAUCGCUCGUCGGCGGGAGACGGUCGACCUUGACGAGCAUGGCCGCGCGGUAGUACUCCACGGAGAGGUUGUAAUCUGCAAAGACCAUGGAGAGGUAGCCCUUGUGCCGGCUCAGGGGCUUCCCGAACUUCUCUUUUAUCCUCGAACCGGCCGGCACGGCGGCGGCGAGCAUGCACAACAUGGACUCCCAUUGGUUGCGACCGAUGGAGUCGCCGACGAACACGAUCCGGCCGUUCCGGCUCCUCUCCAACAUAUCAGACGCGUUAAACCUAUCGAAUUUAAACAUGAAAGUUCUAUUUCAUUUGAGAUGUCAAUGACGAUAACGAUGACGAUGACGAUGAAUACAAACGUACUUAGGGAGGUGGCAGCUGCCAUGGCGAGGUUUCCAGCACCAUUGGCGGAAGGACGAGUCGUUCCGGCCGUUCUGCACGCAACGGAAGCCGGGGUCGAGAAACGGGCAGUCCUCCCCAUAGGUCGUGGUGGCGGCGGUGUUGUCCCUCACCCAUUUCCCGUCGGAGUAAUCACAGCCACCGGUGACGUGGUUGAUGCGACGCGGCGGUGACCGAGUCGGGAAGAGGGGCGUCUGUGUGACGAUGACGGAGAGCGCGAAGAGGACGAGCAAGACGGAGAAGAUUGUAGCGUGUCUAACAUGCAUGAGGUGGGUUUGUGGCUAUACCUGGGUGGUGAUUGAAGGCUUGAGAGGAGGAGGAGAGUGAGCAAGCGAGUGGUGCUAAUGCCAUGCCAAGAGCACAUGCAAACCUCCGGUUAGAGUCUUCAUUAAUUAAUUAAUAGGUUAGUUAGGUCAAUCAUCAUCUUGGUGUGACUCUUUCUGUGCAAGCACCCUUUUUUAGCUUGGUAAAUAUGUUAUGUGCCCUUUUUCCCAUCCAAAGUGUAGAUGAGUUGUUUGAAAUGAUUGGUUGUCUAAUUUAAACAUAAUGUGUCUACUUACAUGGUUCUUAGUUUUUUACGGACGAAAACGAUCUGUUUCAUCUUCUUGAUUUACAUAACAUUCAAGUGUGAACCUUAGGAACAUUCAUCAUCAUGUAUGAACAAAGACUUGAUUUUAAUGAGACAAAGAACAUUGCGGCACCAUCAAGUAUAACUAAAUAAAAAAAACAGGAAAGCAAAAAAUUGUGAGAUGUGUGCAUAUGAACCUCUUUGCGUGUUAUUGAACCCACCUGACAAGGAUCAGCUGUAACCAAUCUAAUGCACAUAAUAAGCGCGAUGCUGGUGAAAUGAAUGGCGAGAGCAGUCAAAAAUAGAUCAAAGAUCUUCAACAAGUGGGCGAAUCCCCCAUCUAAAUAUAUUGCUCGAAGGUUGUAACCACCGUUUAAGUGAAGGAAAAGGUAUGACCGCCAUGCGGAGGCAGCAACCUUGUGAGCCUGCUACUUAAACCUAUGAUAGAUAUCACAUAGCCAAUUCAUCAAUAAUAAGGCGUGCGAUGAAGUUGUAGAGCUAAACGAUCUUAUUGAAAUCCAUGGCAUUCCUGGAGACACAAAUCUUCCAUGGAAUAAUGAGUAGCACCGAGGACAAGAUGGAGAGGUCCAAGCCGGGGUGCAUCCUGCACGCCCAAAGCUCGCCGAUGCAGCGAGGUGGGAUGAUGCCAGGGAAGAUGAUGUCGCUCUAGAUGGGCGGACGGUGUCGCUCUAGAUGUGCUUGUGGUGAAGGGUGUUGAGCUUAUUUCUGAAGAGAAGCCAUGAUAAGAUCUUCACAUGGUUAGGGACUCUGGUUGACCAAAUAGCCGUAGCCUUUGCGUGUCCAAAACUCCAAAUCAUCCUGGGCCAUGACAGGUGAUAAGCCGCACGGGUGGAGAAGGGGCGACCACCGUGAAGGAAGCGCAGAUCAUGGUCCGCACAAGUCAUCCUGCAGAAGCGGCAUUAGAUAGACGGUUCCACACACAAAACUCUAAAUCAUACUCCCUCCUUAAACUAAUACAAGAACAUUUAGAUCAUUAUUUUAGUGUUCUAAAUGUUUUUAUAUUAGUUUACAGAGGGAGUAGGUAAGUAUGGUCGCCACUCUGACAAAACAAUUAGUAGCGUGGGUAAAUAAAAUUGAGAAAUCGAGAGCUAGGGGCAAGUAUGUGGAUCCAAGUAUAUGGCACAUGCAUAUAAUUCAAGAAAUGUGCAUAUCUUUUUUAUCCCUGUAACCCCAUGGCCCCAGGAUGCAUUACCGAAAUAACAGAACAGCGGUUCAGUACAUGCGAAAAGUAAAGCUUCGUCCAAACAGAAGCUGUGCACUCAGCCGCCGCGAGGCGUAAAAUAACGGUUCAAUUCAAUGCAACAAUAAAAACAUUAACAAGUAAUCUAUAUACUGAUAGUUUUGUUUAUACUUUCAUUUACAUACCUGCUGCGUUGAGGGUAGCUGUGCUGGACAUGAUCCCAAUGCCCGCAGGGCAUGUCAGGUCUCUGCUGGUUUCCCAUCGCUUAAUUUGCUUGCAAUUGGAGGCGAUGGGAUGCUUAUCCUCAUUUUCUAGGUGCAUAUAGAACAUAUAGUAGUCUGUAUACAUGAGAGCUUCUCAUAUACAUGAAAUUUAUGAUAAAUAUUUCAUGAUCUGUGGAAGACAUAUACUAGUGCAUGCAUUGAUUUUCUAGGUGCACUUUAUAGCAUUUUUCAAGGUUUUAAAUUAUCCUCAUUUUCACAACUAAACAAAUGAUGAUAUGCAAAUGAUCAUGAUGCACAUUACAACCCUUAUAAUUAUGAGUUACUAAACCGGGGAUGUCACGGCAGAACAUCUUCCAGUUCCCACCAAGAUGAUAAUCCCCAAGCCCUCGACCACACACGAGGUAUCAAUUACCGUAUGCAACCUCCAGUAUAUAUGAUCACAAAUGUCACUUGGAAAAGGUUUGGCCAUAAAUUAGGUGUACAACUCUAGCUAAUGGUUAGGAAAUCACAACCAUAAGAAAGUAAACUUUGGAGAUGAACCCAAUAAUAAAGUUGCAUUUUUAUAUUACAUAUACAUAUCUCGAUGAGUAAGGUUGAGUACAACAAACACAAGCAUCUUGACGUGAGUGAGGAACUCCCCUCCAGCGCUCAGCUGCUUAGCGUGGAACCCAUGAUCACAGUUGCGUGCGAUGUAGCAGAGCAUUUCCACCCAUACCGUUGCGACCAUCUCCCACCGUUUAGCUGCCCCAACUUUGCUUUCGAGCACACAGUCCAAACAGUUUAGGCCAUCAUAUAUACGAGCUAGACUGUUUGUACGUAUAUGCUGAAAGAGAUCUGCUCUUUGACUGCAGAAUCUCUGGAGGAAGUCACUCUUAUCAUAGUUGCCAUCUCUCCAAAAUGUUCCAAUAAACUCCAUAUAUUCUUUGAAUAGUAAAUGCCCGUGAGAGUCAACCAUCAAGUUGCACUUGUAGACCAGGUGCAUGAUGUAAUUGGACAAGUGUUGGCUGCAGGUUCUAAACUUGGAGGGCGUCUCAUCCCGCAUUAGGCAUAUGUCUGUCACAAGAUGCCAAAACAAGGCACUAAAGACAAGAUCUGUAACACCUCCAAAGGUGUCGCUAACUUUCUGUUGGGCUUCACUAAACCCAGAGGAGGAAGAAAGAAUAUGAGUUGCCCACUCGGCACGGAAGCUGGUCAACAUCAACCUCCAGUUAUUGUCGUACAGUUUAUCAAGGAACAGCUCCUUUACCUCUGGGGAGAUGGCAACAUGUUUGGUUGUGUGGUGGUAUUGCUUGAUGCCCAUACGCCACAUCAUCCAUUUCAGCCACCCAUAUUGCUUUCUCGCCUUCUCUUGGAUUAUUUCAUCAAUCAUGUUAUACUGCUGCAGCUUACCUGACCACUCCAAUCUGUCGUUUUCCGAGCCUGGGCGGAGGCCCUUGAGGAUACUAAGCACAAUUCUUGGACUAUGGCCUCCUCCUGGGCAUACCUUGUAUGGCCAAUAUGAUGUCAUGAGCCACAUCAAUAUAGAGGAUAUCUCCAACGCCACUGCACCAACAAGCAAUAUGUAAGAGAUGGCAACAUCAGCUACACCAUAGUACUUGACAGCUUCUGAUCGCCCCUUCCCUCCCUUAUGAUGAACAACAAACAGAGCAAGAGCUGUAGAGUUUAUGACAAGGAUGGUGAGCCGGUGCAACACACCAUCGAGGCUUCCAAACUUGGUGUACAAGUAGUCAUAGAUCAAUGAGAGUUGGAUCUCAGUUAACUUGUGUGCCAAGUUAACUCUGUCGUCUGGCAGCACGGGAUAUGGUUCCUUCCGUCUCAAAUCAACACCGGAGUACACUUCAUAGAACCUGUUCAUGAAAUAUCCCAUGCUUCUAUAAAAUAUGUCAUGAACUACCUCUAUCUGCAACCUGGAUUUUUUGUCAGAAGACAUAAAUGACCAGAUAGCUCUUUGUUCCUUCAGGGUUCUUUUCUGCCCAAGCAACGGACCCCAAGGCCUGCUUAUAGGUCCCCAUGAGCCGGCUCUCCCAAGUAUCCAUAUUCUCUCCAUAUAUUUGGCUAUCCCAGAGAUGAAGAUUAGCACCAUGGGAGCCACAAGCUGCUUGUCCCCUUGCCAUUGCUUGCCCACGACAUAGAUGGCCAGUGCAACCUGGGUGGUGAGGUUCAACAGGUGCCUCUUCCACAGCGCACAAUCCUCCAUGGAGAAGGCUGUGAUGGUGUCCUGCCCUCCGAGGUGGAGCAACAUAAACGGUGCCCAGAAGAGCACCAUAUGGUGCCGCGGGUCAUCACGCACAACACAUGUGAGGUGCCCGAGAACAAAGACCGCCACGGUGUCCGCCGACAGGUAGGCAAGCCACAGCAGCACGCUGAGCAAGCGGGAGCGGUAGCGCUUCCGGAACCCCGCGAAGAAGAGAAGAAACACUUGCAGGGAGAAGCUCGCAAGCACCAGGCACUGGAUCUCCCACUCGUUCCAUAGCUGCUGGAUGCUCGCUACUGUCAGUCUGCCAAUAAGCUGAAAUAUUUUAGUUCACUCCAAAGUAUCAUCGGUUGCUCUAACAUACUGAACUAUUUGUUUUUGCUCUAACUAUUUUAGAUAAUCUAUUAUAUUAUUAUUAAAACAAAGGGUGACAAAGCGACUAUAUUCGUCGGCAGAAAAUAUAUAAUGUCCGUUUGAUCCUAGUGGGAUCUAACUGUUAACUGUUAAGAUUGAAUAACGGAACAACUAUCUACGUCAGCCAGGGGGAACAGCUCGUGUUUAAUUCAGGUCUGCUUUUAAAAACUGGAGAACAGAUUGUGUGUAUUGCCAUCAGAAACAGCGUAACUAAAAUGGAUGAUGCCAUAUCAGGCCAAGGCCUAAACUUCUAUACAGAUGCUCAAGGCAAGUUGUUAAAGGCAAAAGUUAUAUCUCAGUUACAACUAAAAAGGAUCUUCACUGUUUAGAAUUCUCCACUGAGCUAGAAGACAUCAUAAUAAAUUCGAAAUUGUCAUUUGAUAAGCUCUACUCAUAUGUUCUUCGAUUAUCACUAUGAGAUUCUUUUUUAUGGCAGUUUUCCGAAAAUCAAUAUGUAGAAUAAAACAUGUCUUGGUACGAAAUCAGCAUUACAUUCAUAAACAGAUUAAUUUAUAAAAAACUCUUUCUUAGGUGCAUAACAAAUGCGACUCUGUUUUAUAGAAUAUUACAUACAGAAUAAUAAUAAUAAGAAAUAGACCUGAUUUUCAUACGAACUCCAUCAGACAUCUAUAGUAAGUAAAUCCAUACCAAUAAAUAUAUGAAAACUAGUAUAAGUGGAUAAAUAAUAUAAUUAUACACAUAUAUUACAAGUAAUAAAAAUUGUAGAAAUUUGUUUUGUAUACAAAUUUGUAUGAAAACCUUAAUGGUUAAAGGGAAACCCUUGUGGCAGGCGGCGCGCCGGCCGAAACGUUCGGCCGGUCGCGCGCGACCAGCGCGUGUAGCUGAUUAGGCAUGCAUCUUUUUUCCCGUCUAAAUUUGCUGCAACUAGCUUUUAAAUUUAUUACAAGUGUUUUCUAUUCGCUACAUUUGUCCACUAAAAAGCUGCAUAUACGUUUGCUACAUUUGUUCAUCGGAUUGUUUUUGCUACAACCCACAUUUUGUUUUGCUGCCACGCAUCAUCAACGUCAUUUUUUUGCUACGAUCACGUUAAUAUUUUUUUGCUACAACCAUAUUUUUGUUGCAACCGUGGCCGAAAUUUGCUACAUCGAGGAAUUUUGCUGCAUGGACAGAUCUAACGAUGCGGCCCGCGUGCGGCCGGCCGAAAGUUUCGGUCGGCGCAGAGCGCUGCCCAUAGUUAAGCUAUGAAGUUACAAAAACUCUUAUUUGGAAGAUAUUAAAUAAAACUCCCUUUAUAUAUGUGGCAAUUUUAUGUAUAGACCCCCUAAACAACUGUAUUUUAGAAUAUAAUUUUUGUUAACCAUCGAAUUAAAGUCUUAUGGAUGAAGUGACGCCAAGCUUCUGGCAUUCUCUGACAAGAGAGUGCCACAAAAGCUAAAAGGCAAGUUCUAUAGGACGGUAGUUCGACCCGCUAUGUUGUAUGACGCUGAGUGUUGGCCGACUAAAAGGCGACACGUGCAAUAGCUAGGUGUGACGGAGAUGCGCAUGUUGAGAUGGAGGUGUGGCCACACAAGGAAGGAUCGAAUCCGGAAUGAUGAUAUACGAGAUAGAGUUGGGGUAACGUCAAUUGAAGAGAAGCUUGUCCAACAUCGUCUGAGAUGGUUUGGACAUAUUCAGCGUAGGCCACCAAAAACCCCAAUGCAUAGCGGACGGCUAAAGCAUGCUGAUAAUGUCAAGAAAGGUCGGGAUAGACCGAACUUGACAUGGGAAGAGUCCGUAAAGAGAGAUCUAAAGGAUUGGAGCAUCACCAAAGAACUAGCCAUGGACAGGUGUGCGUGGAAGCUUGCUAUCCAUGUGCCAGAACCAUGAGUUGGUCGCGAGAUCUUAUGGGUUUCACCUCUAGCCUACUCCAACUUGUUUGGGACUAAAGGCUUAGUUGUUGUUGUUGUUGUACCUUCUGGUUUAGAAACUACAAACAUACUUUCAUAUGGAAUUUGGAACGGAAGAAAAACAAAUUGGUUUUGUACAAACACCAUGCGCAAUCCAUAAUAGCUGGAUUUGUAAUAACUAUAUAUACCUUAUUAGGUGGCUGAUGAAUAAAACUUUGUUAAUAUAUGAUGCAAAGUUAGGUGGUCGAUGAAAUUCUGUUAAUAUAUGAUUGCAAAAUAAGAAAAAAAAGGAAAUUAUCAAAAUUGAUUCAUGCAUGCACAUAUAGCUAUUAGAUGUGCAAAUAUGAAUGAUUUUUGGGACCAUAAGAAAAGAAUGUGACAAGAGUGGAAUAGAAAUGAGAGUCGCAUUUGUUAUACAUAAAGAGAACACUGCUAGUUGAAGAUAAAGAGCUCCGAUCCCCAUGCUCUACAUAGAUACGUAAUAAUACCAAAUGCGCAUGCAUAUAAUUUUAGAAAUGCACCUAUUUUUUCAUUCAUACCAAGCCCCAUGGCCCCAAGUUCCAUUACCGAAAUAAUGGAACAGCGAGUCAGUAUGCAGAAAAUAAAGCUUUAUCCAAACAGUAACAACAAGCCGCAUUCAGCAACCGCCCAGCACAUGGCAACAGUUCAAUUUAAUAAUUUAAAAAAUAAACCUACUUUAUACAAUAGGUUUAUCUAUAUUUUGAAUAUGUGUACCUGCUGUGUUGAGCUUCGGGAGGGUAGCUGCUCUGGACAUGAUCAUUCAACAUCCUCAUGUUGGUCAAACUCUACAGGAUUGAUUAGAGAAAGACCAAAGAGCGGUAUGAUCAAUUGGCAUAUCUGAUUUGUUUAGAGCAUUCCUAUUUCAAGGCAGUGUUUAUAUAGGGCCAUAAUAGAUGGACACACCUCGAGGAUUGCAGCAAAAUAAUGGAACUGAUCCCAAAGCCUGCAGGGCAUGCCAAGUUUCUGCUAGCUUCCCUUUGCUUUGCUUGCAGCCGGAGACGAUGCGAGACUCUUAGUAUAGUCUUUGCUUUGCUUGCAGUUGUAGACAAUGCACAAUUCUUAGCCAAUUGCCUAAAAAAAGAACAGAUACUCAUUGUCUUGUGGGCUGUUCAUUUUUCUUUUCCCUCUGUCCGGUUUAACCCAAAAUUUGUUUUCCAUUUGCCUUCCAUUCUGUCCCAAGGAUAUAAGUCUAAACACAACCUUCAACUGGUACUAACCACCAGCUCAGUGUGGUCAGCACUAAAAUUAGUUUAAAUGCUUUAUUUGGCAGUGCACUUCAUUUACCUCGUUGCUGAGAAAAAAAAUCUGCUAUAUUCAGAAAAGGCAUGCAGGUCUUAUAUUGAGCACUCUCUAACUGCAAAUAGCUAACGAACACCUCUGCAGCUAACUGUGUGGGUCUACAACAGCAACAGCUCAAAGUAUAACAAACAUGUUGCCAAAAGCAAAGGUACCAAGUCAUGACACAUUUUUUUAUAAGUAGACCCCACCAUGAGAGAAAAGAUGUGCCAUCAAAUCUCAGGAUUUUUCAAAGAAGCAGUGAAAAAUAACCAACAGCCACAUCCUCAGAUGCUUAUACCAUCGACAUAAAUUAGUCAGCAUACGAUUAUUACCAGUCACUCUUGCUAGCAUAACUAAUUUGGUCCUAAGCAUCACUUGCUAGCACAUAGGCAAUUUGGCCUUUCUGUGGGAACCAUAACUAAUUUCGUGAAACAGAAAAGAACAAGCCCAACACUACACAUCGAAGUUGUCCCAUGUCGCCAUCAUCAACCAUAUACCGUCCACGCACAUAAGAUGUGAUGCAAUCGAUCACACUGCACACCAAACAUAUCAAGUGAUCGCAUCAAGCCAGUUUGGCACUGAGGAGCUUUACUGUGGAAAACAGUUGGUUUAGGGAACCUUUAUUGAUCCAAUCCUAUUCAAAUACAUUUCUGAUAUGGCUCCAAUAUGGCGCAAUAAAUUAGUGGGUAUGAAUUGAAUAAAUAGAAAGGCAACCCUAAAAGAUGAACAAGGAAAUCAAUGUGCUAUAGAAACAUACCUUUUCAUGUGCCUUGAUAUGUCAUUUUAAUUCAAAAUCACUUGCAAAUCUAUUGUCAAAUGCUGGGAAUGGGCAUACAAGAUAACUUUCUACGGCAUGUGUUUUGAGGUGCGCACUUAAGUUAAAAUCCAAAGAGAAAACCUGAAAUUCAGAGGGGGGGGGGGNNNNNNNNNNNNNNNNNNNNNNNNNNNNNNNNNNNNNNNNNNNNNNNNNNNNNNNNNNNNNNNNNNNNNNNNNNNNNNNNNNNNNNNNNNNNNNNNNNNNNNNNNNNNNNNNNNNNNNNNNNNNNNNNNNNNNNNNNNNNNNNNNNNNNNNNNNNNNNNNNNNNNNNNNNNNNNNNNNNNNNNNNNNNNNNNNNNNNNNNNNNNNNNNNNNNNNNNNNNNNNNNNNNNNNNNNNNNNNNNNNNNNNNNNNNNNNNNNNNNNNNNNNNNNNNNNNNNNNNNNNNNNNNNNNNNNNNNNNNNNNNNNNNNNNNNNNNNNNNNNNNNNNNNNNNNNNNNGGGGGGGGGGGGGGGGUUAAUUAGAAGCUACAACAUGUACCAGAGCGGAAGGAUUCAUCAAUAAGAAGUCAUAAGCAUUUACAGUACUUCAGUUUCCAAACCAGUCACUUGUAGAUAUGCAGACAGGACUAUAUUACAUUGUGGAAAUUAGGAAGAUCUAAAAUUAGCAAUAGGUUAGGAUAAAAGUGUAAUUUACAAACAUAAUAUUAGUUUGAGGUAUCAGGUGAAGGUUAAUUGAGCUCAACUAAUCAAACAAGCUAAAAACGUUAAGUGAGAUAAAAUUAGCAUGCCACUACUUAGUUCUGCACCAUUAAACAGAAGAACACUGACAAAAUUGUGAACUGUAUGGUGAGAACUAAAAACAUAAAAUGCUGUCAUGCAAUACAAACUCUGUGAAGCCAUACCUUACGGCAAUCUGGAUGUGGGCAAAUAUAAUCCUUUUGUCAUGUGUGAGUAAGAUAUUGCAGCUUCAAAUUUCUACAAAACAAACAGAACAAGAUUCACCAUAUAUAUAUUCACCACCAAACUCAAGUGUCAAACUCUGCCAACUAUAUCACCAUAUGUGCCACGACAUAAUACCUUACCAUGUAAUUAAGCUUCUUGGCACAGGCGACCUGUAUAAACCACCUCUUGUAUAGGUAGAAAAGAAGGAAAUAUCUAGCUACUUCAUCACCGUCCAGAAACGAUUAACUACCACAAGGUGGAGUGCAGAUAUAUAUUACAUAAUGGACCAUCUCAACAAAAUGACCAAACAACAUCAGUAAGUGUCUGCUCAUAUGCGCGCAAUCUAAUUCUACCAUAACUAUAACACCCACUUAGUUUCAUUCAUUGCUAGUUUUCAGCAUACACGAAACUUACUAAAAGGAAGCAGACAACCACAUCUAAACAACCUAGGGCACACGCUCCAGCGGAAUGUCAGUAAACAGGAAAGGCGGAAUGUCCAGCUAAUCUUCAUCUUCUUCUGUUUCCUCAUCAUCGGCGUUCUGGUUACCGUAUCUCCAGCCAUCUUGUACGUUGUUACCACCAGGAUCUUCCUCGGUCUCUUCGCUGUCAUCGUCAUACAUACCCUUGCCUGGCCACUGGUUCUUCACACCACUGGUAUCAACGCCCAUCCUGCUGGAAACCUUGACAUUGUAGGCGUUAGAUGGAGGGGCCCUGUGUGCUUGGUUUGUCUUGCUCCUUUUCGGGUUUGGCGCGAUGUCACCGGCGUCAGCAUAGUUAUACUCCGCUGCAGGUGUGGCGAUCCUACCAUUGCCUUCCUGAUUGUGUUCAGGGUGCUGAGUCUUGAAAUGGAGAUUGAGUUUGUAACCGUGGAUGUAGGCUUUCCCACAGCCUUCGUAGGGGCAGACAUAAGGGCGCUCAGAGGAAAAGCUUGGUGGUGUGGGUGCAGAAGGCUUUGGGGUUGCUUGUAUGGAAGGCUUUAUGGUGUUUUGUGGUUUUUCUGCUGGUGGUGUAUGCUGCACUGCAAUAGGAGAUCCAGUCUGCAUCAUGGUCACAAAAGAUACGGUAAGUAAAACAUAAGACUGACAAGAUUCAUAUACAUAACUGCAAACUGCGUCAUGCAGGUGUGGCACCAUGGGCAUUUUAAUAAAUGAUUAUGUAGUUGGGAUAGUAGGACACUAAUCUGAUAAACUAGAUCACGCUCCAACUUAAUGUAUUUGCGUCAUCCAUAGUUCCAAUCGGAAAACAGUUAACAAAGUUCCCUCAGUGGAUCAAAUAUGUCAGGGAUAAAACUGAACAUGUACCGCAGAACUUCAUGGAACUAGCAUGAAUAGAAGGAAAAGAUAAUCCAAAAGAUGAACAUGGAAGUCAAUGUGGUAUAGCAACAUACCUUUUCAUGUGUCUUAAUAUGGCAUUUUAAUUUGAAGUCGCUUGUAAAUCUUUUGCCACAUGCUGGAAAGGGGCAUAUAUGAUAAUUUUCCACAGCAUGUGUUUUGAGGUGUGCACGCAAGUUAAAAUCCAAUGAGAAGGCCUGCAAUUCAGAGGAUUUGUUUGUUAGAGCAGAUAAAAUGUACCAUAGUGAAACGAUUAACCAAUACGAAAGCAUAAGCCAACCAGACGCUUGUAAAUAUGCAAUUAGGAAGUUGUGGAGUUGUACAAAGUAGAAACCUCUAAAAUUAGCAACAGUUUAGGGCCGUAGCAAUUGAAUUUACAAGCAUUAAACUAGCUUGAGGGAUCAGGGAAAGUUCCAUUAAGUUCAUCAAAUCAAAUCAACAAAACAUCUUCAGUUAGAUAGAAGAACAGUGUAAUUUAAAAAUGUAAGUUGUAUGGUGAGAAAUAGAAGCAAAAAUGAGAAAGCCUGAAAUUCAGAGGAUUUGCUUGUUAGAACAUGUAAAACGCACCAUAGUGAAACGAUUCACCAAUAAGAAAGCAUAAACCAGCCACUCACUUGCAAAGAUGCAAACAGGAAGUUGUGGCGUAGUAGAAAGUAAACCUCUAAAAUUACCAACAGAUUAGGCACGUAGCAAUUGAAUUUACAAGCAUAAAACUAGCUUGAGGGGUCAGGGGAAGUUUCAUUAAGUUGAUUUAAUCAAAUCAGUGGAACAUCUUCAGUUUGAUAGAAUUGGUGCCACUCAACUUAGUUUUGCAUCACCAGAUAGAAGAACACUGUAACUACAAAUGUAAGGCUGUAUGGUGAGAAUUAGAAGCAAAGAAUGCUGCCGUCUAACAGAAACACUGUGAAUCCCUACCUUACCACAGCCUGGAUGUGGGCAAACGAAAUCCUUUUGUCCUGUGUGAGUAAGGUGGUGCCUCUUCAACUUUGAGCUGUCUACAAAUUUCUGCGAAACAAACAGAAAGAGGAUUCAUCAUUUCUGUCCAAAAAGAACAGUCAAGUAGUUAGGAAUUACAUUCUCCCAACAAGAGCAAGGACACAUAUAACAGUUUUUUUCCAUUUUACCAAUGCAGGACAUAACCAAACGUCUUAUAUGUAUAGUUGUACUGGAACAAAUACAUUGGGCCUUAAAUCCAUCAAUAACCAUGCACAGCACAGGAAGGUGCUUGUGGAUAAUAAGAAAGACAAAGAGCAUAAAACUAUGAGCCUGAAAUCACAGGGAAGUUUGCCGAUGCUGGUAAUCAGAUAAGUUUGCCAACGCUAGGAUAUGCACUGGUAAAGGCAUAAGGUAAUUUUCUUCUACUGGAGGUACCUUCCCACAGCCGGGCUCCUGACAAACAUACUGCCGCUCGCCGUGCACGUGGGCGUGCUUCCUCAAGGCCGCCACAUCGACGAAGGUCUUGCCGCAGUUGUCGUAGCUGCAGAGGAAGAGGAUCUCCGUGGCGGGCUCGACCUUGCGCGGCUGCGCCUCCAGCUCCUGCACCCCGCCCCCGCUCUCCUUCAGGUUCCUGUACACGUCCUCUGCACACGGGUUACGCGGAAGCCAACCGCCGAUGAUUAGUCGAUGCAGGAAAUCGCACAACCUGCUCAGCCUAGCGGGUGGCAACAACCAACUAUAUACAGAGGAUAAGGUAAAAUCUGCUCCAUGAUUCAGGAUAAGAUAGGCCAGAAUUUGCAUCGGCCGUUGCAGGCAAUCCCGCAAUCUGCUUCAAACUACAGCGAGUACGACAAGAUAAAACUCGCUAUGCUGUUCAUGAUAAGAUGAACAACAGAUGCAUCGGUCGCCAUCGCCGAUCCGUCUCGCCGCUAUCCCGCCACGGCGCUAUGAUCCACGAGGUGAGGUGAGGUGAGGAGAGGGGAGGGGAGGGGAGGAGGAUUCGGGGGGGUGGUGGGGGGCGCGAGGUACCUCUGACCCACUUGAAGAGGGCGCACUUGGAGCCGGGGGAGGCGAGAUCCUGCGGGAUCCUGCAACGCAACGGCGGUCAGUCGGGUCGGUCCGGCGCAGCGGCGAUAUCAGAGACGGACAUUAGCGUGGCGGGGGCGUACCACUGCUUGACCCAGCGGGCGGCGGGGCGCGGGCGGCGGCGGAGCGCCUGAGGCGGCGGCUGCGGCUGCGCGGGCGGGUAGUAGUAGUAGCCCCCGGCCCCCGCCACCGCCGCGUACUCCAUGCCUCCGGCUCGAUGCGGGCCGUCCCCUCUCCCUCCGCGCUGCGCGAUGCGGUGCGGCCGCCGGCGCCGCCGCUCUCUCUCCCUCUAGGGUUCUUCGGUUUCUCUGGGAAGGCCGCUCGCUCGCUGGCCCUUGGCCGGAAAAUGCCACACGACUUGGUUUUCUUUGUGUCCAAAAACAAUACUCCUACUAACAUUGUUUCUACUGAUUUUUUCCAGCAUCGUAUUCGAAAACCAUUAUAAAGCAUGGCUAUUAUUUUGAUUGCGAUUUGGUAACGACAAAUAGCCGUCUUGGUUUUUACGCGUCUUGUAAUUUGAUCUUUAAGAUACGGAUGCGACAUGUAUUACCAUGGAAAAAGUAAUGAUAACAAAUAAUAUCUGUAUUCAGAUAUAUCCAUUUUUAAUUGCUGGUAGGCAUUGUUUGCGGGAGUUGUUGUUCUGACCGGACCAAAUGUGACUUGGAUUUUCGAGACAAAAUGAGGGUGUAGGACGAGGAGAUGCGGCUCAGUUCCCCUUUAGGGGCAUCCACAGUUUAGCCUGAAGCUAGGCUCGGUUUAUAUAUUCAUCGGGGUUUAUUCCGGAUUUCUUUGGCUAGAAUGACAUAUUUUUUUGAACGAUCACGGAGGGGGGAGCUUCCCCAGGUGAACAUUAGUCAAAAAUAGGGCCCGAAGGCCUGAGUUACAUUAGAGGUUACAUUGAGAAGAGAGAGAGUGGCGCCAAGCGAUGGCGGCCUCCCUAGCAACCAGGUCUUUAAACCUAAUGACCCACAGAGUGAAACCAAAUGUUGCAUUACGUAUAGUGUUCAUAGCAGAGUGAUUCUCAUUGCGAAACACCUCGGCAUUACGAGAGUCACAUAGUUUUCAAGGAAUGGCGAGUGCCACCAUGGGCUAAAUGUUGAUGCUGAGGCCGGUCGGGGUGGCGGUGGUCCAGAUGAGACCGAUGUCGACGGCGGCUGAAGUUCGAGAAGAGCCCACACAUGGACUUCCCCAGGGCAACGAAGUGCCAGGUGUGACGUGUCUUCAAGCAGAUGAGCACGCCUCGGACAGCAGGAGUCGGGUGUGAUAGUCUUGCCGUGGAGGUUGGCCUUGGUGUUUAGCCUAUCUUUGAAAAGCAACCAGGCAAAAAUCUUGACCUUGAUGAUGGCCCUCGAGCUCCAAAUACAACCGAAGUGAGGGUCGAUCUCGUCGGGAUAACAUGAUGUGAUAUCCCUACUUUUUUUAUACUUAGUGUAUACGUUGUUUCGUAUGGGUUAACAAAUAUUUAUGUGUUGCUUUAAGUGCAUGUUGCUUCCAAUAGAAGAGUUCCUAACAUCACGUGGACCAAUCUCUCCUAACACCCGAGCCUACAUGGCCCACGGGGCAACAUGUUGAAAUUAUGUGUUGAUCACGCCCUUUAUAGAGCUCGAGGGUGACGCGUCAGGUCGUAAGGAGAAGGUGUGACUAGGACGGGAGAGCUGCCAAGGUGUGAUGGGUGAUAGGAGGAGGGUGGAGGGCAGUGGCGGAGCUUGGUAGGGGCCAACCUGGGCGGCUGGGUCAUCGCCCCACCCCUCUCAAAAAAAAUCAAGCCCAUAUAACUUUUUUAUUAGGAUUGUUUUUCAUUAAAAUCAACUGGAAUUAAUUAUGUUUCCCCCCCCCCCUCAUGUCUNNNNNNNNNNNNNNNNNNNNNNNNNNNNNNNNNNNNNNNNNNNNNNNNNNNNNNNNNNNNNNNNNNNNNNNNNNNNNNNNNNNNNNNNNNNNNNNNNNNNNNNNNNNNNNNNNNNNNNNNNNNNNNNNNNNNNNNNNNNNNNNNNNNNNNNNNNNNNNNNNNNNNNNNNNNNNNNNNNNNNNNNNNNNNNNNNNNNNNNNNNNNNNNNNNNNNNNNNNNNNNNNNNNNNNNNNNNNNNNNNNNNNNNNNNNNNNNNNNNNNNNNNNNNNNNNNNNNNNNNNNNNNNNNNNNNNNNNNNNNNNNNNNNNNNNNNNNNNNNNNNNNNNNNNNNNNNNNNNNCCCCCCCCCCUCAUGUCUUUGUCUCAAGCUCCGCCACUGGUGGAGGGGGCCGCCGCGUGGGAAGACUACCCCGAAGUGAAAGAAAAUUUUCACGCGCAUCAAUCAACCAUGAAAAAGGGAUGACUACUAAACAUGUGCAUGGGCUGCUCGGUCCAACAUCCCGGCCGAAAAUCUCUAGUAGAAUAGGGUCCUUAUCUUUUGGACCCUGGGAAGUGCCACAAGCGUGGCACGAAUACAUGGAAAUCUGAACAUUUUUAUGGUAAUUUUUGUGACAUGAGGAUUACAACUUCCUUUUCAAAUGGUAAGUUUCAGUUUUUUUUUCUUUUCAAAUGACAACUUUAUUUAUAAAAAGGCCAGAAUGCUCAUGCCACAAAUGUGACAUUUAUCAUUUCGGUAUAUUUUUCUCCAAUAUAAAUUAGGGUUCUUUCUUCUUUGUAGGGUACUUUUGUUUUUCUCACGUCUCUUAAGUUAUCUUUGGCAGAGAUGCACAAACGCAAAAAACUAUGUAAUUUUGUAAAUUCUUAAUAGAGUUCAACAUUUUAAAAAACACAGCACUUGAGCUUAGGGGCCAAAAGAAUCAACUAUAUAUGUCAUGUCUUUCAAGAGAAAUUUUCAAAAAACCUUCAAUUUUAUUUUUCAUAUGCAAACUAUCAAACACCAGUGUGUGCUUGAUAGUUUCACACAGAUAACCUCAGCUAGUAGUUGGCAUCACAAAACAUAUAACCAAACUAACUAACAUACAAAACACAACAAUCCCUGCAUAUGACCCCAGACAUAACAAAAUGAAUCUAGACAAGAAUCACACACAAAGGUGAAACUAGGUCUAGCUUUGCUUAUUCAUCACCACGUCCCAAACGGCUCAUCGCCGAUUAUUAUUCCAAAUAAUAAAUACAACAGGUGCUAAGUACGAGUAGAUACAGGUAGCUUUGCGUUGCCGGAUAGAAUAAAAUUACAGAUGGAGGGCGUGGAAAUCCCUAUGAUCCCACCCACAUUAUGUUCCUCCGCCGAGGAGCAUGAACACAAAAGAAGGAACCACAGCGUAAUGCCAAACAAGUCUCUAGGAAGAAAUAAACCCUUUGAAACAUAAUACAAUGAUGGACCGUGUGCUCCUUGCUUGCAAGCGCUUUGUUCUAGUCGGCGCGGGAUUGGCCGGCACGCGAGGAGAGGAUGAUGCCGACAAUGAGGCCGUACAGGGCAAGGGCUUCGGCAAAGAUGAGGAUGAGGAUCAUUCCGACGAACAGCUUGGGCUGCUGUGCGUUGGCCCUGCAGAGGAGGUAAAACAACAGAAUCAAAUCAGUACUUCAACAACUUCCAGACAAAAAGGUUGUUGUCCAUAGAAAGAUUGAUCUACCACUACCAGAAGGUACAUCCUAAUAAUAACAAAAGAGCAAAACCUAAUAAAACAUAUUGACAACCGAAAGAAAUAAAAAGUGAGCCACUGGCUACAACACGAUUGUACCGAUUCCCCCCUCCAGAACAUACCUGGUGUUCAACAAAGCUCAAAGUGCAAGGAAAACAGGAGUAAUAGAAGAUUCAGAAUGCAACCCUUGAUGAAUUUAUUAAAGCAGGGCCACUGGGGAAUCUAGUUAAGUGACAAGCAAAACCCUGUGUGAUGCAUGCAAACUAAAAUAACAUGACUUGUCAUAACUGAGACCAGAGGAUGGUCAUGGUAGUCAAAGCAGAUAUGGCCAGUGUCUCCAAAUAGAAGAAACCAGAAGUGUAACGCGGCCGUAACUCUUUAGGGCGCUUAAUCAAGGACUUCUGAUUAUGAGAAGUUAGCCCACAUCAGAAAGCCUCUCCAAAUACACUAACUAAAUCACCACUUCCAUGUUUGCUUUCAGAUUUGCACAUUUUCAAUCUCUAGGAACCUUGGACAAACAGUAUGCUAUCUGGAGGUCCUAAUGCAGGCCAAAUUCAGAGUGUAAUCAGCAUGGAACCAUUAUUUUGAUUUAUUCACAAUACUAGAAUUCAUUCAUGCCUCACUGACAUGACAUUAUCCAGUAGGUGUGGUUUGACAAGUGAGGCAGCAAUGGUUUCAUAUGUAAACUCAGAUCAAGCAUGUCCCAAGUAAGAGCACAGAAUCAAGUAGCAUGAUUUGCUUCCCUGCUGUACCCAUCCUCGUCAGAUUUAUGCUAGAGUAAGUUCUCAGUACCAAGUAGCACAAGAUUUACAUUGCGUACUCCCACGCAUUGGACAAACCUCGGAAAGGAGGGAGGGAGAAUAUAUGUGCGUAGGGGUAUACCUGACGCCGGCGUCGCCGACGAUGCCGAUGGCCAUGCCGGCGGCGAGGCCGGCGAGGCCGCAGGCGAGGCCGGAGGAGAGGUGGGCGUAGCCGUCGAAGAGGAAGUAGGGCUUGGCCUUGGGGUUGAUCCCGGUGGAGAUGAUGACGGCGAUGAUGAGGCCGUAGAUCCCGAGCACCCCGGCCAUGACGACGGGCACGAUGGACUUCAUCACCAGCUCCGGCCGCAUCACCCCCAUCGACGCCACCCCCACCCCGCUCUUGGCCGUCCCGUACGCCGCGCCCAUGCCUGCGUCAUCACACGCGCCGCGGUCAGAUCUGGAGGAGGGGAGGGGGAGGGGAGAUCUGGGGGAAGGGAGGUGGGCUUACAGGAGAAGACGAGGGCGGCCGCGGCGCCGAGGAAGCCGAAGAAGGGGGCGGUCUCGUCGCCGCUGAAGACGGAAGACAUGGCUGCCGGCGGGGGAGCGGCGGGGAUCUCGCCGGAGACUGGACGGCGACGGCGACGAGUGGAGGUGAGGGAGGGGAGAGAAGGAGGAGAGAGAUAUUAUGGGGGACGGACGUGUGGACCAGGAGGAGACAAGUAAUGGGAGACACGACUACUGCGCCUGCGUCGUGGGCCCACGGGCUGCGUGGGCCGGGCUGCCCCGAUGGGCCUGGGCUCCGGGCUGGUGAUUACCUCGUGGGCUUCUUAUGCAGCCCACCCGAACGCUACCUAGUGAGCCCGGCAAUUCAUUUGGAGUAUAUUAGUUACCGCUCAAACGGAUGUAUCUAAAUAUGUAUUUAGCAUUGAAAUAUCUAGAUAGCGCCAUCUAGGUACAUAUCUGUUCGAGCGGAAAAUUGACAUUCCAGUGCUAGAUACAUGGGUUGAUCCCAUCCCUCGCUCUAUCCCGGCAAGAGGCCGUUGUACUCCACGCCGCACUGGUUUUUGCCAAACUUAAGGUAGAUGGGGGGCUGUUUCGAGGAGCAGUGGUGCUUUAGGGUCAGUGUGUAGGGAUUCCCGUGGGGGUUACUUGGGAUCUUCUGACAUCGUGAGUAUGAGAAUCAUAGACCCAACAAUCUUGGAAGCUAUGGCGUUCGCAAAAGACCCCUCAAUGAACCACAUAUUUGUAGCUACAGAUUGCAAGGAGGUCAUGGAGAACAUCAGUUAUGGUGCUGGUGGAAUGAAUGGCAACAUAAUUCGCGAGAUUAUCAUAAGGGUUGCUGAGUUUGCAUCUUCUUCAUUUAUCUUCGAAGGAAGGGAGUUGAACGCCGACGCACGUAGCCUCGCUGAAUACGCUCUAGACCUGGCUGAAAGAACCCACUUCUAGCUUAUUCAGCCCUUUGAUCUCCAUUGUAUCCCUACACAAAAUGUUAUCAAUUAAUAAAGUGGAGUGUGUUUAAAGAAAGAGCGGAUCCCAUGGUUUAUAGUUGUUUUUUCUUGAAAAAACGUAUACAAAUGUCCGUGUGGGAUGCGGGACAAUUUCAAAGAAUUGUUCACGGAUCAACAAAUAUUUGUGAAUUCAAAAAAUGUUCAAGAAUCCAAAAAAUGUAUAUGAAUUAAAAAAAUAUCCGUGAAUUCAAAAAAAUGAUUGUACAAUUGAAAAAUUGUUCAUGGACCCAAAAGAAGUUCGUUAAUUCAUAAAAUGUUCAUGAAUUCCAAGAAACUUUAUGGAUUUGAAAAAAUGUUUGUGGAUUUAAAAAAUGUUAAUGGAUUCAGAAAACUUCCACAAAAGCGAAUUAAGGAUAAGGGCUAUAGUUAUGUUCCUUAUUGUGGAACCAGCCCAUCAAAAUUCAAAUCCUAGAGUUGACAUUGGUGUUCAUAUUUUCCUAGACGUAUUUUAGAUUUCCCGAGGGCUUUUCACCCCUAUGAAUUUUGAUUACACAAUGGUUGCUUCAACCAUGACUGUUUUUCACCUCUAUGAAUUUUGAUUUACACAAUGGUUGCUUCAACCAUGACUGCUUUUCACCCCUAUGAAUUUUGAUUUACACAAUGGUUGCUUCAACCAUGACUGCUUUCCACCCCUAUGAAUUUUGAUUACACAAUGGUCGCUUCGACUAUGACAGCUUUUCACCCCUAUGAAUUUUGAUUUACACAAUGGUUGCUUCAACCAUGACUGCUUUUCACCCCUAUGAAUUUUGAUUACACAAUGGUUGCUUCAACUAUGAGAGCUUUUCACCCCUAUGAAUUUUGAUUACACAAUGGUUGCUUCAACCAUGACUGCUUUCACCCCUAUGAAUUUUGAUUACACAAUGAUUGCUUCAACUAUGAUAGCUUUUCACCCAUAUGAAUUUUGAUUUACACAAUGAUUGCUUCAACCAUGACUGCUUUUCACCCCUAUGAAUUUUGAUUACACAAUGGUUGCUUCAACUAUGACGGCUUUUCAUCGGGGCAUUCGUCUAGCUGGACCUUAGCACAAUAACUUCCCAACCGCAAUAUACAAUGUUAGGGCAGAUCCGGCGACGCACCUUUGGCUCAUGCUCAGGAUGGAGAUUCAAUUUGUUUGGCUCUAUGAAAACCUGGUUGAAAUUUUCUUGUUUUUUUCCAGAAUGUUUUGAAUCGUUGAAAGUUUGUAACAUCAAGCCAGGUCCUUAUUCACAGAAAAUAUAAGUGCCUAGAAUUCCAGUUGAGUUAAGUAGACAAGGUUGGUAUCAGCCUUUAGAGUCUUGGUGAAUGAAAAAAAGAACUUGUAAAUUCCGACCAGUUUAAUCACUCUACUCUCUUUCUUUUAAAUCACAAAAAUACAAUGUAAACAAGCGGUAGGCAUGAAACUGCAUCAAAUUGUGGACAGUGCCCUCCAAAAAUGCUGUGAAAUUUCAAAUAACGAUGAAUCUAAGAGGGAGGUACUAAGACAAAAGCUACGGGAUAAUGAGAUGACUUCGACAUGAUUCAGCUGGCGUAUAGAUCCUGUAAGGUUACAAAGGUUGUGUUGGCAAGAACGGGAUUCAAAAAAGCAUAGUAUGGUAGAGAGAUAUGCAAGAUGCUUCAGCUGUGUUGAAAACUCGUCGAGAAAAGCAUGAUAAUGAAGGAACCGGUGCCCUGCAUCAAGUUUACAAACGACAGUAAGUAUAGAAAUGCUAGGUUGCAAUCUCCGAACCAGGAUCUGCAGUCGCAGCUCUCGCUUCAGCCAUGCAAAAAUAAAGCCACGUCACCAAAGUAACAUCAUCUUAUUCGGAUAAUCGAAGUACAGAAAAAGAUUUGGGAUAUCAGUUAACUAGCAAAGUGGUUUCUGUUUCUGAUUCGGCGUUUCCUUUUUCCCCCACAAUGCGCAAGGCAAAGACAGACUGAAGCAAGAUGUACCUGCCAACAGCACCAGCAGUCAGCAGCCAAAGCGCCUACUUCUACUUGCACACUACUCAUUCUGAACCAAAGUCGAGAGAUUUUCAAAUAUAAAUGCUACACCAAACAGAGUCUACCACGAUGUAAAGAAAGACAGCCUAUCCAAGAUUCCAAGUUCAGUAGCAAAAGAACUUGGAAGAUGAGCUAGUCAAUGAAACAAAGACAUCAUAUGUUCUUUUCCAGCAUCUUGUAGCUUAUUUUUUUAAAGAUUUAUUUGAACUGCCAAACCGAUUCCAAUUCAAAAUUCCUUCUUCACACAUCUCAUAGCGCUUCUUGGUGGCCCCCGUGUUGUGAUGACUUAUUUUCAACGAUGAUGAUGAUGACAGCAAGGCCGGCCGUUACAUUGCUCGGCAUUGAGAAAGAAGGUGGCAGCGAGGUAUAGCCGCAUGGGGAAGCAGAGUGUGUUUCAUGCGGUAUGGUAUGCCGAUGGUGGUAGAGAACUAGAGAUGGACGAUGUCGCGAUCUCCCACAUGGCAGUCAAGCACCGGUACAGCGCUGCUUGUUGAGGAGGCAGCACCGCACAGCAACGGCGCAGGUACAACAAAGACUCUGCCAUGUGACAGUAAACAAAACAUGCAGGCAGUAUCCACUGCUACUGCUAGAGUACCUCGCGUACCUGUCACAGAUGCCAAAAGACUCCUGCUGACAAGAGACCUUGUACGUCCAAACUAAGGGCGCGUUCGGACUCCUUCCGCUCCGCGACUCCGCGCCAGAGCGGAGUGGCAUCCAGUGCUAAAUCAGGGAGUUGCUAAAAGCCCGCUGCACACGCUCCGCUCCGCGGAGAGCUGCCAAACAGGUGCUAAGUGAAAAAUACCAAGUCCAAGCAAUGGUCACUAGCUGGAGAUGCAUGUCAGUUAGCCUUAAUAAGGGAGAAGAGAAGCAAGCAACCUUAUGCAGUUUCAACAUACUUCCCACAAGAAUUGGACGGUGGAAUACUAUCAAAUGGAUGCAUAAGGACUUGGACCUUCAUUCAAAAGUAGGAUGACAGGGUCAUGAUGGUUAACUACCAAGUCAACCAUACAGAAAGAGUCCACACAGCCAGGUUUGAACGGGACAGGGUUCAAGAGAAAAGGGGGACUCAGUGGGGUGAUUUCUUUAUUUUAUUUUAUUUUCCCCUUUAAUAGUGAAAAGGAAGAAAACGGCUCCUUAAAUAUUAGGGGCUCCUAAAGUAGGGUAAAACAAGCCAAAUAAAAGAUGGAAAUAUAAAUAAACGACUAAUAAUUAAGCCACGAACUAGAGAUAAGACUUACCACACUUUAUGACAUGAGAAUAUGGCAGUAUGCAAUAAAAUUAUGUACCUACUUGACCAGAUGAACAAUGAAUACAGCAGCAGUUCAGGCGACGAAACAAAGCUCUAGCUUUUACUAUUUAACUGUUAAGCAUUUAAAACAUGAACUAAUAAUGCACAAGAAUGAAUGGUUGUAUUUUCAUCACAAGGAAGUGCAUCAUAAUGCACAAGCAAAGCUAAGACAGUAAGACGAUAGAAACCAGCAGGGCAGGGUAAAAGAGUUAACGGCACCGCACAAAUAAAGAAUGACGAAAUGGGGCAACAUGGUUCGUACAAUCCCCAUGAUUCCAGCCAUAAGAAAGAAAGCAUGCUCUAACAUUAAUAUUAGGCAAAAAAGAGAUUACCUUGAUUCACAGCAGGAUACAACCAAUCAUGUAGCAGAACAAAAAGCACAAUACCCAAGACAAAAAAUAACAUUUCUGCUGCCAUGCCAUGCGUUUGGAAUCAUCAAGGCAAUUCACUACUAACUGGAAGGAAAUGUGACAAAAUAACUAGUCGCCAAACAAGUCAUCAUCACUAUCAUCAGCUGAAUUUGCCUUGCUAGACUUCUUUUCAUCAACAACUUUGACUUGCUCUGGCUGGCCAUCUGAUUUAUACGCCCAUGAUGAGCCCAGUUUUGCCGGAACAGAAUCCCCGUAAAGGUCAUCAUACAUACCGCCUCUUGUUGUGCUUUUUACUUUGUCAAGCAUCUGUUGCAGCUUAUCUGUUACCCCGGUACUGUGGGAGGCACUACUGUCCUUUUGUGAAGUUUGCUCCUUGCCUUUUGGUAUGACAGUAACCUGUACAAGAGACUCGUACUUCCCAACAAGACUGCCUUCCUUCACACCUACCGGGCCUGGUUCAGUUUCAACAUCUGCUCCAUCAGAAAUCCCAACCACCUGAAUAAGCUCUCCACCAACCUGAUCUCUAAAUGACACUCUCCGUUUUUUACUUCUCUUCCACGGUCUACCAAUCGCCUGGUUGUCGUCGUUUACAGCAGAAGCAGAAGCAUCCCCUGAAGAACCUUUUCUCCUCAAUGGCACAUCUGAUUUGCUAACACCAUAGCGAUUGAGUAUUGUAUUGUAUGCCACAACGGCAUCUUCAUCGUCAGAGUCUGGAGGAGACGGCAAACUCACAUCUGACGGGAGACUAUGAGUGGGGAAAAAAGUAGCUGUGUUCUUUCGUAGAACAUAUGCUCUGGUUGAUGCAGCAAAACGAAGUGACUGUCCAACUUCAAGCUCAACAGGGUUGUCCUUGGUUAAUCUCUCAUUCGCAACAAAUGUACCAUGAACAGAUCCUAAAUCGAUAACAUAGAUGCUGAAAGGAAACAAAGGUUAAUCUCUCAUUCGCAACAAAUGUACCAUGGAGCAGCUGUUAGUUAUGCACCUAAGACACAAUGAAGAUAAAAGAACAUUUUACAGGUAUAAUCCUGCCAUUUCUCUGGUAGAAAUUUCUGAAAGAAGCAUGUCUUAAUAAAGGUCAAAAGCAUAUAGGAGCACAAUAUUCCAUCACAGGCACAACCCGUUGUCUAUUGAGUUAAUAAAUUGAAAUCUAUUUGAUUUGAUAGCACGCUUAACAUUCAGGUUGCUAAAAAGAAGACUUGUUCAACCAUUUAAAACAAAAACUCAUACGUCCAACUGAAAGCAAGUGCAUCAAACAUCAGGAAGGUCUCUAACCUUCCAUUUUUGUGUGGAACGACAGCAGCAUGUUGGCGUGAGACAGACUGAUGGUCCAAGACAAUCUCGCAAGCAGGCACCUGCCUCCCAAAUAUAUGCCUCUUCUUGUCCAGAUUGAUCCUAUCGAUGGCAUUCCCAUCCUUCAUCACCUCAAGAUAGUAAACCCCAGGACGCGGCUCAAUUGCCCAGUCCGGCGGUUGCCAUGUCGACUGCCCACCACCAAACUGCGUCACGGCUGGUCUGGGAGCCCCAGCAGCCUCUUGCCCGGCGAUGCUUGAGCCAGCACUCUGCGUAGCAUGCUGACUCUGGCUGGGACCAAGAUGUGAGCUUUGCGGCGGCACCAAUGGAGCUGGCUGCACUUUAACCGCCGCGGGCACACUCUUUGUGCCGGAACCAGACUGCUGCACCGAGAAGGGCUCCAAGGCCUGAGCUUUCUUGAAGCGGUCAAGCCCACCACGGUACAUCUCCUCCAAGCUUACCACUACCACCUCUUCUGGUCUCUUAUCACUGAAUCACUCUUUAACAGCUGGUGAUGAUGAACCCCGCAGGACUGUCCGUACUCAAGCUCUGCAAGGAUCCCCUACAGACGGAUUACAAAAAGUCAGUACCAGCAAACAAAAUUACCCGCAGAGAACAUCCCACUGGCCGCCGCCUCGUGUCGCGAAUCAGAAAAGGCGAAACCAGUAACGGGCUAGAUGUUGGAUGAUAUAUCCUCCUGGACUUCAAAACGAGCUACUUUGAUUUGUUUCCGGCGAUAUAUGCCUGAGCGGAUGCCUCCUUUAACCGAAGGAGACGCAGCAACAAGAUAACAUCCCCAAUGCUGCGUGAUGGCUGGGCUGGGCUGGGCUGCUGUAGUCCCAAAGAAAGGAUUGGGAAGCCUUUGUUCACGGGAGACUGGACGGCGAAUUUGGCCGGCGAGCAUCCUGAAUCUGGCGCUGUUACACGUUUGAUUGAUGAAUUCNNNNNNNNNNNNNNNNNNNNNNNNNNNNNNNNNNNNNNNNNNNNNNNNNNNNNNNNNNNNNNNNNNNNNNNNNNNNNNNNNNNNNNNNNNNNNNNNNNNNAAUCUGGAAUUUUUUGAUGAGAAAUAUUAAUGUUUCUUCUACAUGCGUGCGGAUUUACAGAUUCAUGUAGGUGUGGGCAAAAAAAAAACAAAAUCGAUGGUCCAAUUUUACGCGUGUAGAAAACACAUCAAUAUUUCUCACCAAAAUAUUUCAUAAUUUUCUUAACUACUAUUUUUUUUAAAUGUACUGUUUAUCCGAGCUCAAAUGAGCUCGGGCUGAGAGGAGCACUUUCGAAAUUUUGCCCCUUAUUCAACCCGCAUUUUAGGUACAGAAAAUUUUGGGGAAAAUCUAUUCGCUUCUCUCUGUGUUUUUUUGGUUUCUUUUUCUUUAUUUGUUCUAUUCGCCUCUGAGAAAAUUUUGGGAGAAAUCUAUUCGCCUCUAGGAAAAUUUUGGGAACCUUCUUCCUUGCCGGGUUUUCCCGGUUUUGGACAAUUUCUAGAAGGUUCGGUGAACAGUUUUUUUGUUUUCUUUUUCUUUAUUUGUUCUGUUUCAUUUUUUCUUUUCUGUUUCUAUUUCAAAAAAUGUUCUGAAUUUUUAAAAGUUGUUCUUUAAACUCAUGCAAUAUUUUUUGCUUUUUCAAAAAAUCUUCUGCAUUUUCGGAAAAUGUUCUGUAUUUUCAACCAAUAUUCUCCAAAUUGGAAUAAAGUUUUUCCUAUUUAAAAAAAUGUUCUGUAUUAAUAAAUUUUUUAUAUCCAUAGUUGGGUCACACUUGACUGGUUUGCUCCUAGUUUCUUAAAACACGCGGUCUUGUCCAGCUCAUGUUGCUUCUCAUUCCGGUAUGGCUCCGUCCAGUCAACGCCUUUUGACACUAGAUUUUGGACACUGCUUGCCCCUAGUCAACCUAACCAGCACGUGCAAGCUCACUCUCUCGUUUCCCACUGUCUCUCUUACUCUCUCACGAACCCUAGCCCGAGCUUGCCGUGUUGAGCAACGAGGCGGGGCACAGCGUGGGAGCGGCCGGUGCGACAGAGCCGAUGCAUGUCCAGGCUCCCCUUCUCGCGCGCCCCAAGCCUCGGCCGCUCUCUGCUUCCUCUCCGGCCACGUCUGCGCGGAAGAGCGCCCGACUGUGCUCGGCCGGGCUGGAUGCGGCCUCACCAAACGCCAUCUAGAAGGUUGUCUGUUGGGCGGCGGCCCGCAACCUUGAUCCAGGUCCGUCUACUGCUUCCCCUCCUGACUUUUCUAUCACUAGUGGAAAAUGGACCUUUGACCGGGCCCCAAUUCUCAAUGCCUCCCUCGAGGUUUUUGUCCCGGCCCGUAAGGAGCCUUUAGUCCCGGUUCGUGUCCCAAACCGGGACUAAAGGGCUACACGAUGGGCAGCCCGCAUGUGCGCCACCUUUAGUCCCGGUUUGUGUCUCAAACCGGGACUAAAGUCAUCUGCCUAUAUAUAGCACAGCCCCCCUCUCCCCUCUUCCUUGCAUUUUUCUUGGAUGGAAGAGUGUGGGUGUGUGCUGGCUCUCCAUUUUUUUUGGAUGCACCAGAGGUGUUUGUUGAAAUGUGUGGUAGAGUGAUGCCGCUUCAGUUCACCGAACACAACUACGAUAUGAGAUGCCCGAGCCACGCUUAAACCUCUUCCUCUUUAUUUCUACUUAUUCUAAAAGGUUAGCAACUAUAUUUCCUCGUUUAGACCGUGUGGUACUAAUUUUUAGGAUCGUGAUUGUAUUUGAUAUACUGUCGUAUAACACAGAUGAGCCAUCCAUAGAUGUACGGUGAUCGACGCACAGCCGCUUACAGAGAAGGCGUGCAUUCUUUUCGAGAUGCAGCCGAUGCGAACAAGCAUGGUGGUGGCUAUAUGUUUUGUCCAUGUGUUGAAUAUCGGAAUGAGAAGGAUUACACUUCCUCAAGAGUCAUUCAGAGCCACCUGCUUCAGGCUCCUCCAGCCAUUUUCAGGCUCCUCCAGCCAUUUUNNNNNNNNNNNNNNNNNNNNNNNNNNNNNNNNNNNNNNNNNNNNNNNNNNNNNNNNNNNNNNNNNNNNNNNNNNNNNNNNNNNNNNNNNNNNNNNNNNNNUGCUAAAAUUGUAUUAACAGGAAACAGUAAUAAAUGUGUGAAUAAAUAGAUCACAAAGUGUCCCUAGCAAGCCUCUAGUUGGCUAGCUCGUUAGUCAAUAGAUGAUCAUGGUUUCCUGAUCAUGGGCAUUAGAUCUCAUUGAUAACGGGAUCACAUCAUUAGGAGAAUGAUGUGAUGGACAAGACCCAAUCCUAAGCAUAGCACUAGAUCGUAUUGUUCGUAUGCUAAAGCUUUUCUAAUGUCAAGUAUCUUUUCCUUCGACCGUGAGAUUGUGCAACUCCCGGAUAUCGUAGGAGUGCUUUGGGUGUAUCAAACGUCACAACGUAACUGGGUGACUAUAAAGGUGCACUACGGGUACCUCCGAAAGUGUCUGUUGGGUUGGUACGAAUCGAGAUCGGGAUUUGUCACUCCGUGUGACGGAGAGUAUUUCUGGGCCCAUUCGGUAGAACAUCAUCAUNCAAUACAAUUAUAGCAUGGAUAAUAAACGAUUAUCAUGAACUAAGAAAUAUAAUAAUAACUAAUUUAUUAUUGCCUCUAGGGCAUAUUUCCUACAAAUAAUUGUUAUUUAGUACCAGCUUUGAGCAUGAAUAUUGUAUCAGGGUCUUGCUUAAUGCGAGACGGCUACUCAUUUAAGUCAGAGAAUAAUGGUUGUUCUAUUUAUAUGAGUGAUAUGUUUUAUGGUCAUGCUCCGCUGGUGAAUGGUUUAUUCUUGAUGAAUCUCGAUCGUGAUGUUACACAUAUUCAUAGUGUCAGUACCAAAAGAUGUAAAGUUGAUAAUGAUGGUCCCACAUACCUGUGGCACUGCCGCCUUGGUCAUAUCGGCGUUAAGCGCAUGAAGAAGCUCCAUACCGAUGGACUAUUAGAGUCUCUUGACUUUGAAUCAUUUGACACAUGCGAACCGUGCCUCAUGGGCAAGAUGACCGAGACUCCAUUCUCAGGAAUAAUGGAGAGAGCUACCGACUUAUUGGAAAUAAUACAUACUGAUGUGUGUGGUCCAAUGAAUGUUGAAGCUCGCGGUGGCUAUUGUUAUGUUCUCACUCUCACCGAUGAUUUGAGUAGGUAUGGGUAUAUCUACUUGAUGAAGCACAAAUCUGAGAGAUUUGAAAAGUUCAAGGAAUUUCAGAGUGAAGUCGCGAAUCAACGUGACAGAAAAAUUAAGUGUCUACGAUCUGAUCGUGGAGGAGAGUAUUUGAGUCACGAGUUUGGCACACACCUAAGAAAGUGUGGAAUCGUUUCACAACUGACGCCCCCUGGCACACCGCAACGCAACGGAGUGUAUGAACGUCGUAAUCGCACUUUAUUAGAUAUGGUACGAUCUAUGAUGUCUCUUACCAACCUACCGCUAUCAUUUUGGGGAUACGCAUUAGAAACUGCAGCAUUCACUUUAAAUAGGGCACCGUCUAAAUCUGUUGAGACGACACCGUAUGAAAUAUGGUUUGGCAAGAAACCUAAGUUGUCGUUUCUUAAAGUUUGGGGCUGCGAUGCUUAUGUGAAGAAACUUCAACCAAAAAAGCUCGAACCCAAAGCGGAUAAAUGCGUAUUCAUAGGAUACCCUAAAGAAACUAUUGGGUAUACCCUCUAUCUUAGAUCCGAAGGUAAAACCUUUGUUGCCAAGAACGGAUCCUUUCUAGAGAAAGAGUUUCUCUCGAAAGAAGUAAGUGGGAGGAAGGUAGAACUUGAUGAGGUAAUUACACCCCCUCUCGAACAGGAUAGUAGCACAACGCGGGAAGUUGUUCCUGUGGCGCCUACACCAACUGAAGAGGAAGUUAAUUAUGAUGAUCAUGAAGCUUCGGAUCAAGUUACUACUGAACCGCGAAGGUCCACAAGGGCACGCUCCGCACCAGAGUGGUACGGCAACCCUGUGAUGGAAAUCAUGUUGUUAGACAACGGUGAACCUUCGAACAAUGAAGAAGCGAUGGCGGGCCCGGAUUCCAACAAAUGGCUUGAAGCUAUGAAAUCCAAGAUAGGAUCCAUGUAUGAGAACAAAGUAUGGACUUUGGUGGACUUGCCCGAUGACCGGCGAGCCAUAUAAAAUAAAUGGAUCUUCAAGAAGAAGACUGAUGCAAACGGUAAUCGUUUACAAAGCUCGACUUGUCGCAAAGGGUUUUCGAAAAAUUCAAGGAGUUGACUACGAAGAGACUUUCUCUCCCAUAUCAAAGCUAAAAUUAGUCCGAAUCAUGUUAGCAACUGCCGCCUUUUAUGAUUAUGAAAUUUGGCAAAUGGACGUCAAAACAGCGUUCCUUAACGGGAACCUUAAGGAAGAGUUGUAUAUGAUGCAACCAGAAGGUUUUGUCGACCCUAAGGGUGCUAAAAAAGUGUGCAAGCUCCAGCGCUCCAUCUAUGGGCUGGUGCAAGCAUCUCGGAGUUGGAACAUUCGCUUUAAUGAGGUGAUUGAAGCGUUUGGGUUCAUACAGGUUUACGGAGAAGCCUGUCUGUACAAGAAAGUGAGUGGGAGCUCUGUAGCUUUCCUCAUACUGUAUGUGGAUGACAUAUUAUUGACGGGGAACAAUACAGAAAUGUUGGAGAGCAUAAAGGCUUAUUUGAACAAGAGUUUUUCAAUGAAGGACCUUGGAGAAGCUGCAUACAUAUUAGGCAUCAAGAUCUAUAGAGAUAGAUCAAGACGCCUCAUAGGUCUUUCGCAAAGUACAUACCUUGAAAAGAUAUUGAAGAAGUUCAAUAUGGAAAACUCAAAGAAAGGGUUCUUGCCAGUGUUGCAAGGUAUGAGAUUGACUAAGACUCAGUCGCCGACCACGGCAGUAGAAAAAGAGAAGAUGAGUUCUGUCCCCUACGCUUCAGCCUUGGGCUCUCUAAUGUAUGCCAUGCUGUGUACCAGACCUGAUAUAAACCUUGCCAUAAGUUUGGUAGGGAGGCACCAAAGUGAUCCCGGUAUGGAACACUGGACAUCGGUCAAGAAUAUCCUUAAGUACCUGAAAAGGACUAAGGAAAUGUUUCUCAUUUAUGAAGGUGGCGAAGAGCUCGUCGUAAAGGGUUACGUCGACGCUAGCUUCACAAAGAUCCGGAUGACUCUAAGUCACAGACCGGACACGUAUAUGUGUUGAAUGGUGGGGCAGUGAGCUGGUGCAGCAGCAAGCAAGAAGUCAUGGCAGCAUCUACAUGUGAAGCGGAGUACAUAGCUGCUUCAGAAGCAGCUCAUGAAGGAAUUUGGAUGAAGGAGCUCAUCACCGACCUUGGAGUGGUUCCAAGCAGGUUGGGUCCAAUGACACUCUUCUGUGAUAACACUGGGGCCAUUGCCAUAGCCAAGGAGCCCAGGUUUCACCGGAAGACGAAGCACAUCAAACGCCGCUACAACUCCAUCCAGGACCAUGUCCAGAGUGGAGUGAUAGAUAUUUGUAAAGUACACACGGAUCUGAAUGUUGCAGACCAGUUGACUAAACCUCUUCCACGAGCAAAACAUGAUCAACACCAUAAUGCUAUGGGUGUUCGAUACAUCACAAUGUAACUAGAUUAUUGACUCUAGUGCAAGUGGGAGACUGUUGGAAAUAUGCCCUAGAGGCAAUAAUAAAAUGGUUAUUAUCAUAUUUCCUUGUUCAUGAUAAUCGUCUAUUGUUCAUGCUAUAAUUGUAUUAACAGGAAACAGUAAUACAUGUGUGAAUAAANNNNNNNNNNNNNNNNNNNNNNNNNNNNNNNNNNNNNNNNNNNNNNNNNNNNNNNNNNNNNNNNNNNNNNNNNNNNNNNNNNNNNNNNNNNNNNNNNNNNCAUAGGGUUGUCUUUAUAACUAACGCUUGUGCUUGCAGAUGCGUUUACUAUUUUGCUAGGAUGUAGCUUUAGUAGUAAUAGCAUGAGUAGCACGACAACCCCGAUGGCGACGCGUUGAUGGAGAUCAUGGUGUGGCGCCGGUGACAAGAAGAUCGUGCCGGUGCUUUGGUGAUGGAGAUCAAGAAGCACGUAAUGAUGGCCAUAUCAUGUCACUUAUUAAUUGCAUGUGAUGUUAAUCCUUUUAUGCACCUUAUUAUGCUUAGAACGACGGUAGCAUUAUGAGGUGAUCUCUCACUAAAAUUUCAAGACGAAAUUGUGUUCUCCCCGACUGUGCACCGUUGCUACAGUUCGUCGUUUCGAGACACCACGUGAUGAUCGGGUGUGAUAGACUCAACGUUCACAUACAAUGGGUGCAAAACAGUUGCGCACGCGGAACACUCGGGUUAAGCUUGACGAGCCUAGCAUGUGCAGACAUGGCCUCGGAACACAUGAGACCGAAAGGUCGAUCAUGAAUCAUAUAGAUGAUAUGAUUAGCAUAGGGAUGCUUACCACUGAAACUAUGCUCAACUCACGUGAUGAUCGGACUUGAGCUAGUGUAAGUGGAUCAUGAACCACUCAAAUGACUAGAGAGAUGUACUUUUUGAGUGGGANNNNNNNNNNNNNNNNNNNNNNNNNNNNNNNNNNNNNNNNNNNNNNNNNNNNNNNNNNNNNNNNNNNNNNNNNNNNNNNNNNNNNNNNNNNNNNNNNNNNUAAUUGAAGUGAAACUAGUGCCGACAGCGAUUGCAUCAACCUUGGAACCAUUUCCUACGCGCAUCGUCACUUCAUCUUUCGCCAGCCUUCGUCUAUUCCGCAGUUUCUGUUUCGAGUUGCAAAUAUGAGCAACAGAACCGGUAUCGAAUACCCAGGCACUACUACGAGAUCCGGUUAAGUACACAUCAAUAACAUGUAUAUCAAAUAUACCUAAUUUUUCUUUGGCCGCCUUCUUAUCAGCCAGAUACUUGGGGCAAUUGCGCUUCCAGUGACCCAUACCCUUGCAAUAGUAACACUCUGUUUCAGGCUUAGGUCCAGCUUUGGGUUUCUUCUUCGGAUUGGCAACAGGCUUGCCGCUCUUCUUUGAAUUACCCUUCUUGCCUUUGCCAUUUCUCUUGAAACUAGUGGUCUUAUUCACCAUCAACACUUGAUGCUCUUUACGGAGUUCAGACUCUGCGACUUUCAGCAUUGCAAACAACUCGCCGGGUGACUUGUUCAUCCCUUGUAUGUUGCAGUUCAACACAAAGCCUUUAUAGCUUGGCGGCACUGAUUGAAGGAUUCUGUCAGUGAUAGCCUCUUGCGGGAGUUCAAUCCCCAGCUCAGCUAGACGGUUUGAGUACCCAGACAUUUUGAGCACAUGUUCACUGACAGACGAGUUCUCCUCCAUCUUGCAAGCAUAUAAUUUAUCGGAGGUCUCAUACCUCUCGAUCGGAGGCGUUCUUCUGAAACAUAAACUUCAACUCCUGGAACAUCUCAAAUGCUCCAUGACGCUCAAAGCGACGUUGAAGUCCCGGUUCUAAGCCAUACAAGACUGCACAUUGAACUACUGAGUAGUCCUCCUUACGUGCUAACCAAGCGUUCUUAACAUCCUGAUCAGCCGUAGCGGGUGGUUCAUCUCCUAGCGCAGCAUUAAGGACAUAAUCCUUCUUCAAAGCUUGUAAGAUUAGCUUAAGAUUACGAGCCCAGUCUACAAAGUUGCUUCCAUCAUCUUUCAACUUAGCUUUCUCUAGGAACGUAUUAAAAUUCAGGGUGACUGUCGCGUGAGCCAUGAUCUACAACACAAAUAUAUUCAAAGUGGACUUAGACUCUGUUCAAGAUAAUUAGAGUUUAACUUAAUCAAAUUAUUCGCUAAAAUCCCACUCAAAAAGUACAUCUCUCUAGUCAUUUGAGUGGUUCAUGAUCCACUUACACUAGCUCAAGUCCGAUCAUCACGUGAGUUGAGCAUAGUUUCAGUGGUAAGCAUCCCUAUGCUAAUCAUAUCAUCUAUAUGAUUCAUGAUCGACCUUUCGGUCUCAUGUGUUCCGAGGCCAUGUCUGCACAUGCUAGGCUCGUCAAGCUUAACCCGAGUGUUCUGCGUGCGCAACUGUUUUGCACCCGUUGUAUGUGAACGUUGAGUCUAUCACACCCGAUCAUCACGUGGUGUCUCGAAACGACGAACUGUAGCAACGGUGCACAGUCGGGGAGAACACAAUUUCGUCUUGAAAUUUUAGUGAGAGAUCACCUCAUAAUGCUGCCGUCGUUCUAAGCAAAAUAAGGUGCAUAAAAGGAUUAACAUCACAUGCAAUUCAUAAGUGACAUGAUAUGGCCAUCAUCACGUGCUUCUUGAUCUCCAUCACCAAAGCAUUGGCACGAUCUUCUUGUCACCGGCGCCACACCAUGAUCUCCAUCAUCAUGAUCUCCAUCAACGUGUCGCCAUCGGGGUUGUCGUGCUACUUAUGCUAUCACUACUAAAGCUACAUCCUAGCCAAAAUAGUAAACGCAUCUGCAAGCACAAAUAUUAGUAUAAAGACAACCCUAUGGCUCCUGCCGGUUGCCGUACCAUCGACGUGCAAGUCGAUAUUAUCUAUUACAACAUGAUCAUCUCAUACAUCCAAUAUAUCACAUCACAUCGUUGGCCAUAUCACAUCACAAGCAUACCCUGCAAAAACAAGUUAGACGUCCUCUAAUUUUGUUGUUGCCGGUUUUACGUGGUGACCAUGGGUAUCUAGUAGGAUUGCAUCUUACUUACGCAAACACCACAACGGAGAUAUAUGAGUUGCUAUUUAACCUCAUCCAAGGACCUCCUCGGUCAAAUCCGAUUCAACUAAAGUUGGACAAACCGACACUUGCCAGUCAUCUUUGAGCAAUGGGGUUACUCGUAGCGAUGAAACCAGUCUCUCGUAAGCGUACGAGUAAUGUCGGUCCAAGCCGCUUCAAUCCAACAAUACCGCGGAAUCAAGAAAAGACUAAGGAGGGCAGCAAAAUGCACAUCACCGCCCACAAAAACUUUUGUGUUCUACUCGAGAAGACAUCUACGCAUGAACCUAGCUCAUGAUGCCACUGUUGGGGAACGCAUGGGAAACAAAAAAUUUCCUACGCGCACGAAGACCUAUCAUGGUGAUGUCCAUCUACGAGAGGGGAUGAGUGAUCUACGUACCCUUGUAGACCGUACAGCAGAAGCGUUAGUGAACGCGGUUGAUGUAGUGGAACGUCCUCACGUCCCUCGAUCCGCCCCGCGAACUAUCCCGCGAUCAGUCCCACGAUCUAGUGCCGAACGGACGGCACCUCCGCGUUCAGCACACGUACAACUCGACGAUGAUCUCGGCCUUCUUGAUCCAGGAAGAGAGACGGAGAGGUAGAAGAGUUCUCCGGCAGCGUGACGGCGCGCCGGAGGUUGGUGAUGAUCUUGUCUCAGCAGGGCUCCGCCCGAGCUCCGCAGAAACGCAAUCUAGAGGAAAAAUCGUGGAGGUAUGUGGUCGGGCUGCCGUGGAAAAGUCGUCUCAAAUCAGCCCUAAAACCUCCGUAUAUAUAGCUGGGAGAGGGGGGACCUUGCCUUGGGGCUCAAGGAGCCCCAAGGGGGUCGGCCGAGCCAAAGGGGGGAAGGACUCCCCCCCCAAACCGAGUCCUACUUGGUUUGGUGGGUGGAGUCCUUCUUUCCUUUCCCACCUCCUCCUUUUUUUUCUUUUCUCUUUGAUUUUUCUUCCAAUGCGCAUAGGCCCCUUUUGGGCUGUCCCACCAGCCCACUAAGGGCUGGUGCGCCACCCUCAAGGCCUAUGGGCUUCCCCGGGGUGGGUUGCCCCCCCCCGGUGAACUCCCGGAACCCAUUCGUCAUUCCCGGUACAUUCCCGGUAAUGCACGAAAACCUUCCGGUAACCAAAUGAGGUCAUCCUAUAUAUCAAUCUUCGUUUCCGGACCAUUCCGGAACCCUCGUGACGUCCGUGAUCUCAUCCGGAACUCCGAACAACAUUCGGUAACCAACCAUAUAACUCAAAUACGCAUAAAACAAUGUCAAACCUUAAGUGUGCAGACCCUGCGGGUUCGAGAACUAUGUAGACAUGACCCGAGAGACUCCUCGGUCAAUAUCCAAUAGCGGGACCUGGAUGCCCAUAUUGGAUCCUACAUAUUCUACGAAGAUCUUACCAUUUGAACCUCAGUGCCAAGGAUUCAUAUAAUCCCGUAUGUCAUUCCCUUUGUCCUUCGGUAUGUUACUUGCCCGACGAUUCGAUCGUCAGUAUCCGCAUACCUAUUUCAAUCUCGUUUACCGGCAAGUCUCUUUACUCGUUCCGUAAUACAAGAUCCCGCAACUUACACUAAGUUACAUUGCUUGCAAGGCUUGUGUGUGAUGUUGUAUUACCGAGUGGGCCCCGAGAUACCUCUCCGUCACACGGAGUGACAAAUCCCAGUCUUGAUCCAUACUAACUCAACUAACACCUUCGGAGAUACCUGUAGAGCAUCUUUAUAGUCACCCAGUUACGUUGCGACGUUUGAUACACACAAAGCAUUCCUCCGGUGUCAGUGAGUUAUAUGAUCUCAUGGUCAUAGGAAUAAAUACUUGACACGCAGAAAACAGUAGCAACAAAAUGACACGAUCAACAUGCUACGUCUAUUAGUUUGGGUCUAGUCCAUCACGUGAUUCUCCCAAUGACGUGAUCCAGUUAUCAAGCAACAACACCUUGUUCAUAAUCAGAAGACACUGACUAUCAUUGAUCAACUGGCUAGCCAACUAGAGGCAUGCUAGGGACGGUGUUUUGUCUAUGUAUCCACACAUGUAAAUGAGUCUUCAUUCAAUACAAUUAUAGCAUGGAUAAUAAACUAUUAUCUUGAUACAGGAAUUAUAAUAAUAACUAUAAAUUUAUUAUUGCCUCUAGGGCAUAAUUCCAACAGUCUCCCACUUGCACUAGAGUCAAUAAUCUAGCCCUCACAUCACCAUGUGAAUUACAUUGUAAUAAAUCUAACACCCAUACAGUUCUGGUGUCGAUCAUGUUUUGGCCGUGGAAGAGGUUUAGUCAGCGGGUCUGCUACAUUCAGAUCCGUGUGCACUUUGCAUAUAUUUACGUCCUCCUCCUCGACGUAGUCGCGGAUGAGGUUGAAGCGUCGUUUGAUGUGUCUGGUCUUCUUGUGAAACCUUGGUUCCUUUGCUAAGGCAAUGGCACCAGUGUUGUCACAGAACAAGGUUAUUGGAUCCAGUGCACUUGGCACCACUCCAAGAUCCGUCAUGAACUGCUUCAUCCAGACACCCUCCUUAGCCGCCUCCGAGGCAGCCAUGUACUCCGCUUCACAUGUAGAAUCUGCUACGACGCUUUGCUUGGAACUGCACCAGCUUACUGCACCCCCAUUAAGAAUAAAUACGUAUCCGGUUUGCGACUUAGAGUCGUCCGGAUCUGUGUCAAAGCUUGCGUCGACGUAACCUUUUACGGCGAGCUCUUCGUCACCUCCAUACACGAGAAACAUCUCCUUAGUCCUUUUCAGGUACUUCAGGAUAUUCUUGACCGCUGUCCAGUGAUCCACUCCUGGAUUACUCUGGAACCUGCCUGCCAUACUUAUGGCCAGGCUAACAUCCGGUCUAGUGCACAACAUCGCAUACAUGAUAGAGCCUAUGGCUGAAGCAUAGGGGACGGAGCACAUAUGCUCUCUAUCUUCAUCAGUUGCUGGGCACUGAGUCUUACUCAAUCUCGUACCUUGUAAAACUGGCAAGAACCCCUUCUUGGACUGUUCCAUUUUGAACCUCUUCAAAACUUUAUCAAGGUAUGUGCUUUGUGAAAGUCCUAUCAGGCGUUUUGAUCUAUCCCUAUAGAUCUUAAUGCCUAGAAUGUAAGCAGCUUCUCCUAGGUCCUUCAUAGAGAAACUUUUAUUCAAGUAAUCCUUUAUGCUCUCCAAAAACUCUACGUUGUUUCCAAUCAACAAUAUGUCAUCCACAUAUAAUAUUAGAAACGCCACAGAGCUCCCACUCACUUUCUUGUAAAUACAAGAUUCUCCAACCACUUGUAUAAACCCAAAUGCUUUGAUCACCUCAUCAAAGCGUUUGUUCCAACUCCGAGAUGCUUGCACCAAUCCAUAAAUGGAUCGUGGAGCUUGCACACCUUGUUAGCAUUCUUAGGAUCGACAAACCUUCGGGUUGCAUCAUAUACAAUUCUUCCUUAAGGAAACCGUUAAGGAACGCCGUUUUGACAUCCAUCUGCCAGAUUUCAUAAUCGAAAAAUGCAGCUAUUGCUAACAUGAUUCUGACGGACUUAAGCAUCGCUACGGGUGAGAAUGUCUCAUCGUAGUCAACUCCUUGAACUUGUGAAAAACCCUUUGCCACAAGUCGAGCUUUAUAAACGGUCACAUUGCCGUCAGCGUCCGUCUUCCUCUUAAAGAUCCAUUUGUUCUGAAUGGCCUUGCGGCCCUCAGGCAGUACCUCCAAAGUCCACACUUUGUUCUCAUACAUGGAUCCUAUCUCGGACUUCAUGGCUUCUAGCCAUUUGUUGGAAUCUGGGCCCACCAUUGCUUCUUCAUAAUUUGCAGGUUCAUUGUUGUCCAACAACAUGAUUGAUAAGACGGGAUUACCGUACCACUCUGGAGCAGCACGUGGUCUCGUCGACCUGCGUGGUUCGACAGAAACUUGAACCGGAGUUUCAUGAUCAUCAUCAUUAACUUCCUCCUCAACCGGCGUCGCAAUCACAGGGGUUUCCCCUUGCCCUGCGCCACCAUCCAGAGGGAUGAGAGGUUCGACAACCUCGUCAAGUUCUAUCUUCCUCCCACUCAAUUCUCUCGAGAGAAACUCCUUCUCGAGAAAAGUUCCGUUCUUAGCAACAAACACUUUGCCCUCGGAUUUGAGAUAGAAGGUGUACCCAACUGUCUCUUUUGGGUAGCCUAUGAAGACGCACUUUUCCGCUUUGGGUUCCAGCUUUUCAGGCUGAAGCUUUUUGUCAUAAGCAUCACAUCCCCAAUCUUUAAGAAACGACAACUUUGGCCUUUUGCCAUACCACAGUUCGUAUGGUGUCGUCUCAACGGAUUUUGAUGGUGCCCUAUUUAAAGUGAAUGCAGCUGUUUCUAAUGCAACCCCAAAACGAUAACGGCAAAUCGGUAAGAGACAUCAUAGAUCGCACCAUCUCUAAUAAAGUACGAUUACGACGUUCGAACACACCAUUACGCUGUGGUGUUCCAGGAGGUGUUAACUGUGAAACAAUUCCACAUUGUCUUAAGUGAGCACAAACUCGAAACUCAGAUAUUCACCCCCACGAUCAGACCGUAGGAACUUGAUAUUCUUGUUACGAUGAUUUUCAACUUCACUCUGAAAUUGCUUGAACUUUUCAAAUGUUUCAGACUUGUGCUUCAUUAAGUAUACAUAACCAUAUCUACUCAAAUCGUUAGUGAAGGUGAGAAAAUAACGAUAUCCGCCGCGUGCCUCUACGCUCAUCGGACCACACACAUCGGUAUGUAUGAUUUCCAACAAGUCACUUGCACGCUCCAUUGUUCCGGAGAACGGAGUUUUAGUCAUCUUGCCCAUGAGGCAUGGUUCGCAUGUGUCAAGUGAAUCAAAGUCAAGUGACUCCAAAAGUCCAUCAGCAUGGAGUUUCUUCAUGCGCUUUACACCAAUAUGACCCAAGCGGCAGUGCCACAAAAAUAUGGCGCUAUCAUUGUUUACUCUAACUCUUUUGGUCUCAAUGUUAUGUAUAUGCGUAUCGCUAUCRAGAUUCAAUAUGAACAAUCCUCUCACAUUCGGUGCAUGACCAUAAAAGAUGUUACUCAUAGAAAUAGAACAACCAUUAUUCUCUGACUUAAAAGAGUAACCGUCUCGCAAUAAACAAGAUCCAGAUAUAAUGUUCAUGCUCAACGCAGGCACUAAAUAACAAUGAUUCAAGUUCAUAACUAAUCCUGAUGGUAAUUGAAGUGAAACUGUGCCGACGGCGAUUGCAUCAACCUUGGAACCAUUUCCUACGCGCAUCGUCACUUCAUCUUUCGCCAGCCUUCGUCUAUUCCGCAGUUCCUGUUUCGAGUUGCAAAUAUGAGCAACAGAACCGGUAUCGAAUACCCAGGCACUACUACGAGAGCCGGUUAAGUACACAUCAAUAACAUGUAUAUCAAAUAUACCUGAUUUUUCUUUGGCCGCCAUCUUAUCUGCCAGAUACUUGGGGCAAUUGCGCUUCCAGUGACCCAUACCCUUGCAAUAGAAGCACUCUGUUUCAGGCUUAGGUCCAACCUUGGGUUUCUUCGUUGGAUUGGCAACAGGCUUGCCUCUCUUCUUUGAAUUACCCUUCUUGACUUUGUCGUUUCUCUUGAAACUAGUGGUCUUAUUCACCAUCAACACUUGAUGCUCUUUACGGAGUUCAGACUCUGCGACUUUCAGCAUCGCAAACAACUCACCGGGAGACUUGUUCAUCCCUUGCAUGUUGUAGUUCAACACAAAGCUUUUAUAGCUUGGCGGCAGUGAUUGGAGGAUUCUGUCAGUGAUAGCUUCUUGCGGGAGUUCAAUCCCCAGUUCAGCUAGACGGUUUGAGUACCCAGACAUUUUGAGCACAUGUUCACUGACAGACGAGUUUUCCUCCAUCUUGCAAGCAUAGAAUUUAUCGGAGGUCUCAUACCUCUCGAUCCGGGAGUUCUUCUGAAAGAUGAACUUCAACUCUUGGAACAUCUCAAAUGCUCCAUGACGCUCAAAGCGACGUUGAAGUCCCGGUUCUAAGCCAUACAAGACUGCACAUUGAACUAUUGAGUAGUCCUCCUUACGCGCUAACCAAGCGUUCUUAACAUCCUGAUCAGCCGUAGCGGGUGGUUCAUCUCCUAGCGCAGCAUUAAGGACAUAAUCCUUCUUUCCAGCUUGUAAGAUUAGCUUAAGAUUACGAGCCCAGUCUACAAAGUUGCUUCCAUCAUCUUUCAACUUAGCUUUCUCUAGGAACGUAUUAAAAUUGAGGAUGACACUUGCGUGAGCCAUGAUCUACAACACAAAUAUAUUCAAAGUGGACUUAGACUAUGUUCAAGAUAAUUAGAGUUCAACUUAAUCAAAUUAAAUGCUAAACUCCCACUCAAAAAGUACAUCUCUCUAGUCAUUUGAGUGGUUCAUGAUCCACCUACACUAUCCCAAGUCCGAUCAUCACGUGAGUCGGGAGUAGUUUCAGUGGUAAGCAUCCCUAUGCUAAUCAUAUCAUCUAUAUGAUUCAUGAUCGACCUUUCGGUCUCAUGUGUUCCGAGGCCAUGUCUGCACAUGCUAGGCUCGUCAAGCUUAACCCGAGUGUUCCGCGUGCGCAACUGUUUUGCACCCGUUGUAUGUGAACGUUGAGUCUAUCACACCCGAUCAUCACGUGGUGUCUCGAAACGACGAACUGUAGCAACGGUGCACAGUCGGGGAGAACACAAUUUUGUCUUGAAAUUUUAGCGAGAGAUCACCUCAUAAUGCUACCGUCGUUCUAAGCAAAAUAAGGUGCAUAAAAGGAUUAACAUCACAUGCAAUUCAUAAGUGACAUGAUAUGGCCAUCAUCACGUGUCUUCUUUGACUCUCCAUCCAACCAAAAGCUAGUUGGCACGAUCUUUNNNNNNNNNNNNNNNNNNNNNNNNNNNNNNNNNNNNNNNNNNNNNNNNNNNNNNNNNNNNNNNNNNNNNNNNNNNNNNNNNNNNNNNNNNNNNNNNNNNNUAUUACACCUGGCCGUUNUAAAAAUUUUAAUUUCUAUCUGGCUUAAUUUUGGUUUUCUUCAAACCAUUAAAAAGCUCUAUUGUAUCCGCGCUACGGAAAUGUAUGGCAGAACCAGUGGACAACACCGAAAGCAAUUUGACAGUUCUACACAAAAAAUCAACAAGUAUAAUUCAUUUAUCUUUACUAAACCAUCAUCGGGGUCUAAUUCUCUUUUUUGGUAUUUGCAGGUUCCCGUAUCAAAGUCAUUGCAGGUACUACUCUGACUGCAGUCAUUUUCAUUACAAAAAUUUUAUUAUGCAAAUCUCUAUUGUUGCACGUCUAGUUACAAAAUUUAAUUCCCAAUGCAAUAUGCUGAUGUCAUAUUGUUUGUUUAUUCAGCUACAUCAUCGGUGGCCGCAUUUGUUGUUCUUUUGUUAACGGUGGCCACUGUGCUUUAUCUUUCACUCAAGACAAGAUAUAACGCGGAGAUACAUUUGAAGGUUGAAAUGUUUCUCAAGACAUAUGGAACAUCGAAACCCACGAGGUACACUUUCUCUCAAGUUAAGAAGAUGGCAAGACGGUUUAAGGAAAAAGUAGGGCAGGGAGGAUUUGGAAGUGUCUACAAAGGCGAGCUGCCAAAUGGAGUGCCCGUGGCAGUCAAGAUGCUAGAGAACUCUAGAGGAGAGGGAGAAGUAUUCAUCAACGAAGUUGCAACCAUCGGACUAAUCCACCAUGCCAAUAUUGUCCGUCUCCUAGGAUUCUGCUCUGAAGGAAUGAGACGGGCUCUUAUUUACGAAUUCAUGCCUAACGAGUCACUGGAGAAAUACAUAUUCUCUGAUGACCCUAACAUUUUUCAGAACCUUCUGGUACCAGACAAGCUGCUAGAUAUUGCUUUAGGCAUCGCCAGAGGAAUGGA